ACUCAAUCAAUAAGCAACAUAGGCUAAGGUGGAGAAAAACUCACCUAAGUGAAGAAAUCCUCUCUCGAGCUCCAAAUGGAAGUUAGAGUUCUUCAAAUCCAACCUAAAUAAAGGUUCUAAACCCAUCAAUUAGGUUUCAAAGCCCUCAAAUCAAAAAUCCCCAAAAUAAACCCUAAAUCCCAAAAUCUAGGGUUCCAUCUAGUAAAAUCUAGAAAAAAACUUAUAUUAAAUGGGAAAUACAAGCUACCAACCUCAAGAGAAGCUUCAAUCCAAGCUCUAAACCAAGUAGGGUUGAAGUUUGAUCCUCCACAAAGCUCCAACCGUGUAAUAUAUCGAAAAUUCGGAAAAUAAAUAUCGAACUUUAGUCAAAUUGACCAAAGUGCGAGGAUGGUACACUUCGGAAAGUCCGAAGGUGUUAAAAUGAGUAAAAGUGAGUUACGGGAGGUUUUCGAGAGCUAAAGAAUCAAAUUCUGCAAAACUGCAGAUUUUCAGCUCUCGGGGACCGGUCCCUGGUGGGAGAGACCGGUCCCCGAACGCGUGCAGAAUGAGACAACCGAAAAAUCGGCUAAGUCCUGGAAGGACAGCUCUCGGGAACCGGUCUCUGUCUGAGAGACCGGUCCCCCAGAGACCGGUCCCCCAAGGAGGGACCGGAUGCAUUGCGCGCGGCAGCUCUGGCUGCGCAGGGUGGGCCUACGGGGACCGGUCCCUGUUCGGGGAGACCGGUCUCUGCCUGCGAAAACUGCCCAGUCCAGGCAGUGCACAGAGGUAAAAGUUGAGGGGUUUAUUAGCAAUUUUGCAACCCAAGGGUUAUGUUGGGGCUGAGGGAGCCUUCCUCUCUCAUUUCCUCACCCUCUCACACUCUCUUCUCUCCCUCUCUCUCUAGAAAGCAAAGGAGAAGAAGAAGAUAAGGAAAGGAAGGAAAAGAAGGAGAAGAAAAAGGAGAAGAAGAAGAGGAAGUGAAGAAACUCCCUCUCCCUCAUCUCUAGCUUGGAAAGGAAGGGCUUACAAGGUAAGCUUUAAACCCUAAUCAUGGUAGAACCUAAUCUAGGGUUUGGAUUAAGCUUGAAAUGGGUUUUAUGGAACCAUUUGAGUAUUUGAAGCUUUUCUUUUGCUUCUUUUGAGAUCAAGACCAUAGAAAUGGUGGAGCUUGAGGAGAGCUUCAUCACCUCUCAUGGUGAAACCCUAAGUAGGGUUUUGAUUAGCCUAAGAAUGGUUCUAGUGGACUAUUUAGAGUAUAGUGAAGCUACUUUUGCUUCCCAUAGAGAUCAAACCCUAGGUUUUGAUUUACAUUGGAGCUAGGGCACCCAAAUUGGGGCUUUUGCUCAUGAGGGUUUCUAAGUGCAAUUGACCCUUUAGAAACCUAAUUGGGGGUAUUUCCGACGCGUUGGUGCGCUCGGAUUAACGUUACGAAAAGCCGAUGAAAAGUUAUGGGCAAAAUGGCCUAAGUUGGCUUCGUUUUGCCGCAGGUAAAGAACGAAGGAUCUAAAAAUCCCGAGAAAAUCGUCGGAGCACCUGAAGAGACCUACAAGGUGGGUGGUGCUUCUCAAACUCAUUGAAAUUCUCUCUAUGCCUAAUGUGUCAUUCUUUGAGCAUAUGUUCUAUAUAUUGUUGCAUGCAUUUUAGGGUAAAGUAAUGAUGAGAUGUGAUAAUUGCAUGAUUGUGAGCACAACUUGCAUAAUGAGAUGGUUGAGAACCAAAUGAAUGUCGAAAACCCUAGAUGUAUGCAUGAGAGAAGAUGUGAGCACACAAAGUGAGCAAAAGAACAGAGUGACACAAUGACAUAGAUCGAGUGGCAUUCGAUAAAGCUAAUGUGAAAUGACACUAGAGUUAGUGUGUUGUAAAGAGCUAAAGUGAUGUAAAGAAUGAAGAAAGUGACAAAGUGUAAAGUUAAAGUAAAGUGGCCAAUAAGAACAAGAAUGCUAGAGUUAGCAAGAGUAAUGAAAAUGCAAAGAAUGUGAUUGCAUGAGUUUGCAAUAUAAAGUGAUGUAAAGAACACUAGAGCUAGUGUAAAGUCAAGAUUGAACUUAUAAUCCUUUGAGUUAAGGAUAUGAUCAUACUUGCUAUGAGUUCCGUGCUCGAGGGCGGUCGCUCCCCCUCUGGCGAUGCGCUCCGGAGUUAUGCAUCCGGGUUGGAGUAGACCCGUAAGGACGGUCCUAGCUGGUGAGUUCCUGCGAUGAUGGACUUAAUGUGAAGCAAGUUAAUGUGGCGAAGCCCCCGGGCUAGCCUUAAUGAUUAAAGAGCAAAGAGGUAAAGUGCAAAGUAAUAAAGGAACAUGCAUUAUGCAUAUGUUAAAUGUAUUGGUUUCCUUGCUUUUGUUUCGCAUGAUAGAUUCAUGUUGUUUAGAUGGUUACUAAUUCCUGUUAUUCUUUCACUAUGUUCUAUUAUGCCUGAGUUAGUCCUAGUGGGAAAGUCGGUGAUGUUGAGGCCGAACCCACUGGGAACUUUGUUGUAGUUCUCACCCCACUAUUUCCACAGAGCCGGGACCGAGCGAGCCGGCGAGCGACCGAGGUAAAGGUAUCGCGCCUUAGUAAGAGGCCACCAAAGUUGGGUACAUUUUGUUAGCAAACACCCUUUUAUCAUCUUUUGUACUUGAUGAUUAGUGAUGUAAAGAAAAGAAUGUAAAGCUCAUUUUGAGGUAAAUGUGAUGUAAGAAAGAAAUGAUGGAAUUUAUGUAAUGAAAUGCAAAGAAUUCUAAAUGUAAGAAAUGGAUGCAAUGUAUAUGAUCUAAAAUGAAUCAUAUUACUUGUGAAUGUUUAGUUUCCUUUUUCUUUCACUUAUGGCUAUUGCUUACCCUCGUGUAAGCCGUUUGUGUAUGUUUCCGCUAGUGCUUUUCUCUAAUGAUGAAAAUGUACGUGUGAUGAGCCUUGGGCGGAUAGGGGAAACUCUGUCCGUUCGGCGUCUGUUUGACGUGCUCGGGUCGGGCCAAAAUGGCAUCGGUCCCGGGGCGUGACAAACCGCAAGCUCCAAGCCACCAAGGUGAGAAAUGAGGAAGAAGAUGAUGCUCCAAGGUCUUCAAGCAAGCUCCUCUCCUUCUCCUCUAACUCUUUCUUCUCCUUCUCCUUCUCUUUCUCUCUCUAAAGUGGGUGUGAGGGAGAGAAAAUGAGGAUGGGAGAAAGAGGAGAGGCUCUAUAAGCCUUCAAAAGUAACAAAAUCUACUUAGGUCCCUCAAAAAACCACUUUGUGCACUGCCCGGUCUGGGCUGUUUCGCGCUGAGGGACCGGUCUCCCCGACACCUGGGACCGAUCUCUCAGUUCGUCCCGCAAAACCAACGUUCGGGAACCGGUCUCUCCCCACCAGGGACCGGUCUCUCGGACCCAUCUCGCAAAACACGCGCUCGGGAACCGGUCUCUCCCAGCCAGGGACCGGUUGCCUGAAGUCCUGCUGCAGCAUUGCUCUGGGGGGGCCGGUCUCUCCUAUCAGGGACCGGUCUCCGAGAGUGAAAAUUCUCAGGACUUACCAAAACUCUAGAGAUCGAACAUUUAGGUCGGAAUACCAUCUACGACCUUCUACCAAGUGUUGAAAAUUUCGGAAUACAUAUCAAACACUCGAACCUCGCAAUUUGCAAAGGUCCAGUGCGCUACAUUCACCCCUCCUAAAAAGGAGUUUCGUCCGCAAAACUCGAACGACAACACAUACCUCAAAGCUCCAUUUGAAAAAGAUGGGGAUAGCGCUCCCGCAGCGCGCUCUCUAGCUCCCACGUGGCCUCCCGCACCUCGUAGUUGCUCCAAAGAAUCUUCACGUACGGAAUAUUCCGAUUCCGCAGUUUUAGCACCUCGCGAGCCAAAAUCCUCACUGGUUGCUCCUCGAAGCUCAAGUUGUCCCGCAACUCCACAGGUGUAGCGUCCAACACAUGAGUCAGGUCGAAGACAUACUUCCGAAGGACCGAUACAUGAAAGACGUUGUGCACGCCAGAUAGGUUCGGUGGUAGAGCGAGUCGAUACGCUACCGGACCUACACGUUCCAAGAUCUCAUACGGUCCAAUGAAACGGGGGCUCAACUUACCCCGAAUCCCAAAUCUCUUGAUCCCUCUAGUCGGUGAGACCUUCAAGAAAACAUGGUCUCCAACUUGGAACUCCAAGUCUCGCCGUCGUCGGUCGGCGUAGCUCCUCUGUCUACUCUGCGCCGUCACAAGUCGCUCCCAAGCAAUUCGAAUCUUGUCCUCAGCUUUCUGGAGCACAUCAGGGCCUAAUGCCAAUCUCUUGCCAACUUCACUCCAAUGAAGUGGCGAUCUACACUUCCGUCCAUAAAGUGCUUCGAAGGGCGCCAUCUUGAUGCUUGCUUGAUAACUGUUGUUAUAGGCAAAUUCCGCCAUCGGUAGAUGUUGCGACCAUUCUCUCUGAAAGUCUAUCACACAAGCUUGGAGCAUAUCCUCUAAAGUCUGAAUGGUGCGCUCCGACUGCCCGUCACUCUGAGAGUGGAAAGCAGUGCUGAAGUCCAGUCGGGUGCCCAAGGCAUCCUGCAAACUCCUCCAAAAAUGAGACACAAACCGAGUGUCUCGAUCAGAUACUAUCGAUGUAGGCACUCCAUGAAGUCGCACAAUCUCAUUGAGGUACACUUGCACGAGCUUCUCUCCGGUCCAAGUAGUAUGAAUAGGUAUGAAGUGCGCCGACUUCGUCAACCUAUCCACGAUCACCCAUAUAGCAUCAUGUCCGGCCUGAGAGCGAGGCAAUCCUGUCACAAAAUCCAUGGUGAUCUUCUCCUAUUUCCACACGGGAUAGGCAAACUCUGAAGUUUUCCCGCGGGAACCCGAUGCUCAGCCUUUACUUGUUGGCAAGUUAGACAAUGAGCUACAAACUCGCCUACAUCCUUUUUCAUCCCGGGCCACCAAUAAAGCAACUUUAAGUCCUUGUACAUCUUGGUGCCUCCCGGAUGUAUAGCAUAGGGCGCUCGGUGCGCUUCUUGAAGAAUAUCCUCUUUAAUUCCCGAUUUCGCCGGUACACAAAUUCGUCCACGGAAGCGCAUCAAUCCUUAGUCAUCCACAAGGAAAUCGCCGGUGCAAUCAUCAACCAUUUUACCUCUAAUCUUUUACAACUCCACAUCGGAAGGUUGUUUCUCUUUAAUUCUAUCCAAGGGUAUAGGUUGCACUACCAAGGUCAUCAAUCGCAAAGGUGUGUCCGGAGUCACCACCUCCAACUCCAACCGCUUCAUUUGCUCGAUCAACUGCUGUUGAGUAACAAUAUGCGUCGCUAAGUUUUCAGUUGAUUUCCUACUUAGCGCAUCCGCCACCACGUUAGCCUUACCCGGGUGGUAAAGAAUAGUCAAGUCGUAAUCCUUGAGUAGCUCCAACCAUCUGCGUUGCCUCAAGUUCAACUCCUUCUGAGUGAACAAAUAUUUCAAGCUCUUGUAAUCCGUAUAUACUUCACACCGCUCACCAUAUAAGUAGUGGUACCAUAACUUCAACGCGAAGACUACGGCCACCAACUCCAAAUCGUAGGUAAGGUAAUUCUUUUCAUAUUCCUUCAGUUGGCGCGAAGCAUACGCGAUCACCUUGCCACCCUGCAUCAACACACAGCCCAAUCCGUUAAGAGAUGCAUCGCUGUAAAUCACAUACCAUGCUCCAGUCACCGGCAGGGUUAGGAUCGGGGCGGUCGUCAAUCUUUGCUUCAACUCUUGGAAGCUUCUCUCACAUGCAUCAUUCCAAAUGAACUUGACACCUUUAUGCAUGAGCCUCAUAAGGGGAGUAGAUAGCUUAGCGAACCCCUCAACAAACCUUCGGUAGUAACCGACCAAUCUAAAGAAGCUCCGUAUCUCUGUGACACUCGUCGGUCUCGGCCAAUCCUUGAUUGCUUCAAUCUUCUUAGGAUCCACAGCUAUACCCGAUCCCGAUAUCAAAUGUCCAAGGAAGGCUAUCUCUCGAAGCCAAAAUUCACACUUCCUCAACUUGGCAUAAAGCUCCUUUUUCUGAAGCAUUUGAAGUACAAGCCUCAAAUGCUCCUCAUGAUCCACAUCACUUCGGAAAUAAACCAAAAUGUCGUCGAUGAACACCACGACAAAUGUGUCCAGGUAAGGCUUGAAAAUACGGUUCAUAAGAUCCAUAAAAGCUGCCGGGGCGUUAGUAAGCCCGAACGGCAUCACUGUGAACUCAUAAUGUCCAUACCGUGUUCUAAAAGCCGUCUUCGAUACAUCCUCAGGUUUGAUCUUUAACUGGUGGUAUCCCAACUGUAAGUCUAUCUUGGAAUACACACUCGAUCCUUGAAGCUGAUCAAACAAAUCAUCGAUCCUCGGCAACGGAUACCUAUUCUUGAUCGUGACUUUAUUAAGUUCAGAUAAUCCACACAUAAGCGAAGUGAUCCGUCCUUUUCUUGACGAACAAAACUGGCGCUUCCCACGGCGAGACGCUCGGUCGAAUGAAACCCUUGUCCAGAAGAUCCUGUAGCUGUGCCCUCAGCUCCUUCAGUUUCGCCGGUGCCAUCCUAUAGGGUGCUUUCGAGAUUGGGGUAGUCCCAGGGACGAGAUCCACCACAACUCGAUCUCCCUAUCGGGUGGCAUACCCAGUAACACAGCUGGAAACACGUCCCGAAAUUCCUGUACCACCGGGAUAUCCUCAAUCCUAGGGGUGUCAUUCUCGCCCCUCAACACAACACUAGCCAAGUAGGCUACACAUCCUCGGCUGAUCAGUUGCCUAGCUCGAGACGAGCUGAUCGACAUCGCAAAGAGCGAACUCCGGCAUCCUCUAAACACAACCUCAGUCUGUCCCGGUUCUCUGAAAGUAACCGUGCGGUUCAUGCAAUCUAUUGUGGCAUAAUACUUAGUUAGCCAAUCUAUACCCAAGACCACAUCGAAAUCCCCUAGCUUGCGCAGGGCUAGUAAAUCUACGGGUAUGAUCCAAUCUCCUACCCGAACAGGGCAACUAGGGCAAUACUCUCUAAUAUCCAGAGUGUGGUCAGGUACUACAACAUGUCCCGGAUGCAACAAAGAAACCAAAGGGAAGUCAUGCAACUCGGCAAACAGCCGAUCACUUUGGCGCAAGUUGCGCAGAUCCUGCUCCAUCUUGCGCUUGACGCUGGUCGGGAAGUAGUGCGCCAGUAAAAGCUCCUUGAACUUUUUCCACAUGAUAGCUGCCAAAUCAGUGCUGGGUUCUCCUGGAGAUCCAACCACCAGCGGUAGGCCUCACCGUCUAGAUGGUGUGUGGCGAGCCAAACUCGAUCCCUCUCCUCCAUGAAGGUGUCGCGGAAGAGCUUCUCCAUGUGCAUCAACCAUUUUUCCACGAUCCAGUGGUCGACCUUCUCGCCAUCGAAAAUCCUGGGGCUGCACCUCCUGAACUCAUUAAGGCGUUCCAUCAAUCGGUCCCGCUCCGCCCCCUCAACCAACACGGGAAAAACGGUUCCAAUCGGGGGUGCCUGAACAGGUGGCGCCACCAAAGCCUCCUCCUGAGGCGCGGCCACGGGCGCCGCACGCGACGAACUGGGCGCAAGGGACGGUGCUCUCGGUGCAACAUCUACAACUGGUGCUGGCGGUGCAGGGGCCUGGGUCUCCCUGGAAGCUGCCGCCUGCUGUAGAAGAAGGUCCUCUAGGCGCUUCAUCCGCGCCUCCUGUCGGCGCGCCGCAUCAGUCUGCUAUCGUGCCGCCUCUGCCUGCUGCGUCACCAAGUCGGUGAGAGUCGCUAGCUGGCUCCUGAGCUCACAGACCUCGCUGGAUCCGGAGGUAGCGGAGGUCUCGACCUCCUCCAGAUUUGCCGAGUUAUCCGCUCCAGCAGAUUGGAAGCGUGUGAUCGGCAUCGCACUACAACAUCAUAAAAGCGUAAAUUAGCAAACCUACACUAUCGCAUCCCCGCUCAAAGAUAAUACCCAAAUUAGGCGAAAGUAAGGAAGUGUGCUUCACUACUAACUUCCGAUGUUACGUUGUCGGCCGCCAACGUAACCCUCCGCGAAGUUAGGAGCUAUACACUUCGAUUUAACUCUACUUUCUAGAAUUAUCCAAAAUACCCAAUCGAGAUACUUUCGCUUACAUGUCAAAUAGACCUCGUCUCUCACGAGCCUAUUUCCUAUAGUCCAACAAGCCUAAGGUUUGCUAGGUCCACUAAGACUCAACCCUAGGCUCUGAUACCAAACUAAUCUAUCACGCCCCGGGACCCAGCGGAAGCCCGCCCGGCGUGUGUCCAGACCCGCCGUACAUCUAAAACAUACAAGGCAUCUAAAAUAAAGCGGUAAAUAAAACAAUACAAGAAGGCAUCUAGGAGUAUCAGAGCAAGGUAACUACGAAAUGCUACAACAAGAAGAAGAUCAUAAAACUGAUAAUCCGCUAGGUAAAAAUAUAAGAUAAUACAAAAGGAGUCCCAAAGCAAGUACAAAUCUGAAUAUAAGGUGGUCUCUUUAUACAUGGUGCCAAAACUCUCCCUCUCACAAACACAAACAAAAGAAGGAGUAACCACCUAUCGCAAAACGGACUCUCUCCCGAGCUAGCUACGCGACACCCUUGCUGCGAUCCCAUGCCUCCGCCGGUGCCGAAGGCUCUAAAAAGAAAUCAUAGAAACAGGGACAUGAGAACUAUUAAAUAAUAGUUCCCAAUGGGUAAUUACUGAUUUCAGUGAAAUGCGCCACUAGGCCCAAAACUACAAAAGUGGGUCAGUGUACAAGUAUAAGCCAAAGCGAUAAGAACAACUAGGAAAUAAAUAUGAAUGCUAUUCAACCAUGAUAUCUCUACUUAGCAUGAUUUGCAUAAGUAAAAAGGCAAUUACUACAAGUAUGUGCACAAGAGUAUCCAACAUGCAAAUGCAUAAGUAUGCAACUAAUCCAAUGUCCACAAUGUAAAUAGUAAAGAUGUCAUUGUUUACUAUUCUAGUCGAUGUCCACUUGUCACUUUAAUUGUUUACAGUUUAACUUUGAUAAGACCCACCCGAAGGCUGUCUGGCUUUACCGUGCCUAAUGGCCCCGUGGUAGUCAAUAUUCCCACCCUAGGAAUGAGCCUUUCCCACAGCAAUCCACUUCGGCGCCCAAUCCCACACGGCGAACGUAUCGCGAUGGCCAACUCCGGAGUGUCGGCUUGUAGCGAGCGACCCUUACAAGCAUGAGCGAAUGAGCACAACGGCAAGCAUGCGUAUAAGUCUGUCUCAAGUACCAAGUCCUCAUGUCUAUGAACAUGGAAUGUAUCGAAUAUCACAAAGGCCUAUCACUAUGUCAUCAUAUCUCUAACAUGGAAUAUAGUCGAUGUCCAAUGGCCUAUCACUAUGUCUCUAUGUUGCAUUUUCAUAGUUUACUAGUUUCAAGUGCCCCUUUAUGACACUAUUGUUCAAUGAGUCCAAGUAUGGUAUCUAAGUUCAUGAAUACAUAAUUCUACUCAUUUCAAAUAUAGGAGACAUGUUCUCAACUUGUAAGGUCAACUACCCUUCACAAUGCAUGCAGUCUACACAUAUACCUCUACUAUAUAGAGUGCAAUUUCAUGAUACAUAAAGCAUGCAUUUCAAGUGUUCUAAAAUUCACAUAAAUCAUAUUUAACGUGGAUUUGCUCUUAAAAAGACUUUACGAAGAGUUUAGAAAGCAUAGGGGUCAUUUUGCCCUAUUUUCAUGAAGUCAAACACACCGAAGAUUCCGAAACCUUUCGUAAGCUCCGACGAAGGUGUCGAUUAGUCUCCUAACACCCUAAAGAUAUAGGAACAAGGGUCAAAUAAAUCUCACGAUGUAAGGUAUCGGACUUCUAAAAUCAUGAAGUUACGGUGUACAUUUGGUUGGAGAGUCUCGGUUCGAUUUGAGACGAAUCGGAAGUCAAACGAGCGAAAACGGGCGAAAACGGAGAAGAAACGGUGAAAAAGGCUGAAAUUUGGCUAAGUCCUUGAGACUGAGUACUGGACCUUCGGGGACCGGUCUCUCACCGCAAGGACCGGUCUCUCAGUGACCGGUCUCUCACCGCAAGGACCGGUCUCUCAGGGACCGGUCUCUCACCGCAAGGACCGGUCCCCGAGCGCGAAAAUGGCCCAGUUUGGGCUGUUGCAAGAGAGGCUUUGUUGAGGGGCUUUUAUGCAAUUUUGCACUAAUGAGAGUGUAUAGAGAGGGUUCUUUCUCUCUUUCUCUCAUUUCCCUCACUCCAACACCACCUCUCUCUCUCUCUAAACGUGAAGAAGAAGAAGAAGAAAGAGGAGAAGAGAAGGAAGGAAAAGGAGGAAAAAUGAGAGGAGAAGAAGAGGAUCCUCACCCCCAUCAUCACCUUCUUCUUCCUCUCACCAUUAGAGCAAGCUUAACAAGGUAAGCUUCAAACCCUACAAUGGUAGAUCUCUAGGGUUUGAUCCUAAUGCUCUAGAAAUGGUUUCCUUCCAAGAUGCCCAAUUAGAUUGGAUGUAGCUUAGAUCCAGGGUAAUGAGUGUUUAUUGCUAGAUGCAAACCGAGGGCUCCGAAAUGGCGAUUUGAUUUACAGGAGGGUUUGAUCUCUUUUAACACUCUGUAAACCUAAUUGGUAGGUCUACGAACGCAACGGUGCGCUCGGUUCGGCGAUCCGACGAGUGUACGCGAAGAUAUUGAGGAUCGAAGCCGUUAAGGUACAGAUUGCCGCAGCUCGCGGCGAAAGCUUCCAAAAAUCAUGGAAAUGGAAUCGUAGCAUCGUGGUGUCGGGGAAUAAACUCCAGAACAGACGGAUCGCGGAUAGGAGGUCAUUUGGCAGUCGCGCUUGAGUUGGGUCGAGCCGUGCGGCGUGCGCCGCAGGAGGCCGAUUGCGAGUGACGACGAGCAAUCGGAACGCUAUAAAAGGUGGGUGGUGUCCAUCCCGAAGCAAUCGGGCUCCCUUUUAUGUCUAAGUUUAUAUUGAUCAAAUUGCAUAUUGACAUCUUGCAUUAUAGGGUGAUAGAUGAUGGUUUGGUCCUAUACCUUGCAUGUUCUUUGGUAGAAUAAUGUAUUUAGCUUAAUACUUAUAUCUAGCAUGCUUGAGGUUUAUAUAUGUGAUGUGGAACCCUAUAAUGAGAUGAUAAGUGUGGAUAGGAACUUAGUAAUGUAUUGACUAUUGCAUUGGAAACUUGUAAAGAACGAGUGGCAUCUAGUUGAUAGUAAACAAAAGAACGAGUGACAUAUGUGAGUCAUAGUGUAUAUGAAACCUAUGGACUAUAUGAUGAUUGUAACCCUAGAGGACAGGGUAUCCUCGAGCUUAGAGGAUUGGAUCAUGCUCACGGUCUGUUAAAUCUUGUGAUGGAAGCCCCACACAAGUAGUGCGCUCCGGAUGUUGGUCACGCCAGGGAUUGCCUAUUUGGCCCCGCCAGACGGUCUCGGGUCCGUAGUGUGAGUUAAUUCUCCCUACCUUCGAGAUGGCUAGUGAGCUGUAGGCGAGCCUUCGGGUAAGCCAUGAGAUUAAUGAACAAGUAAAUGAGGUUAAUGAACGAGUGAAUAGCUUCACCUUUGGACAUGAUAACAGGUUAGUUGCUUACCUAUUUCAUUGUACAUGCAUUCAUAUAAUUAUGAUUGGGCAUAGUAGAGUAGCUUCACUCCUGUCAUUUACCGCUUUCCUUAUCUAUCUAUCUAUCGAUUAUCUACUUGUGCCCGACUUGGACCUAGUGGGGAGAUCGGCGGAGUCGGCGGCCGAACCCACUGGGAACUAAGGAAGUUAGUUCUCACCCCCAUUUUACUACAGGGCCGAGCGCGAGUUCACACGGCGAGGAUCGCGGUAAGGGCUUAGCGCCCUAGUUGCAUUAGUCUACUUUCCUAUUUCUGCAUUAGAGUCACCUUUUAUGCUUUGAGAGUAGAUGAUGUAUAGGUUGUGAGCUAUUUUGAGAUAAAUGUAAACUAAUGUUUAUAGUUUGGAAGAUGUAAGGUUUAUACUAUGUUUUGGAAGUUCAAUGUAUAAUCAAAUUGUAUUAUAAAGGCUGAAUGAAUGUAAUAGAUAGAUGCUCUCUCUUUAUCAUUACUUGUAUGUUCUAUACUUGUAUCUUGCUCUUGGUCGUUUCGCACUGAUUGUGCUUCGUUGUAGUUAUUGAUUGUGUAUGUAUUCAAGUUAUUUUCCUGGGGACUUGUUGUACACAAUCUUGUUGUUAGCCUUGGGCGGACAGGGGAGGUGCUGUCCGUCCGGCGUCUGUUCGACGCGCCCGGGCCGAGCCAAAUUGGUAGCGGUCGCGGGGCGUGACACACGAUCAACCCUAAACUCAAUCAAUAAGCAACAUAGGCUAAGGUGGAGAAAAACUCACCUAAGUGAAGAAAUCCUCUCUCGAGCUCCAAAUGGAAGUUAGAGUUCUUCAAAUCCAACCUAAAUAAAGGUUCUAAACCCAUCAAUUAGGUUUCAAAGCCCUCAAAUCAAAAAUCCCCAAAAUAAACCCUAAAUCCCAAAAUCUAGGGUUCUAUCUAGUAAAAUCUAAAAAAACUUGUAUUAAAUAGGGAAUACAAGCUACCAACCUCAAGAGAAGCUUCAAUCCAAGCUCUAAACCAAGUAGGGUUGAAGUUUGAUCCUCCACAAAGGUCCAACCGCAAGCUCCAAGCCACCAAGGUGAGAAAUGAGGAAGAAGAUGAUGCUCCAAGGCCUUCAAGCAAGCUCCUCUCCUUCUCCUCCAACUCCUUCUCCUUCUCCUUCUCUUUCUCUCUCUAAAGUGGGUGUGAGGGAGAGGAAAUGAGGAUGGGAGAGAGAGGAGAGGCUCUAUAAGCCUUCAAAAGUAACAAAAUCCACUUAGGUCCCUUAAAAAACCACUCUGUGCACUGCCCGGUCUGGGCUGUUUUCGCGCUGAGGGACCGGUCUCCCCGACACCUGGGACCGGUCUCUCAGUUCGUCCCGCAAAACCAACGUUCGGGAACCGGUCUCUCUCCGCCAGGGACCAGUCUCUCGGACCCAUCUCGCAAAACACGCGCUCGGGAACCGGUCUCCCCCAGCCAGGGACCGAUUGCCUCAAGUCCUGCAGUAGCACUGCUCUCGGGGGACCGGUCUCUCCUAUCAGGGACCGGUCUCCGAGAGUGAAAACUCUCAGACUUGCCAAAACUCUAGAGAUCGAACUUUUAGGUCGGAAUACCAUCUACGACCUUCCACCAAGUGUGGAAAAGUUCGGAAUACAUAUCAAACACUCGAAUCUCGAAAUUUGCAAAGGUCCAGUGCGCUACAAGUAUAUUAAAUUAUUUUAUAAUAUAUCAAUACAAUAUCAAUAUUUAUUAUUUUAUCAUAUUAUAUUUUAAAUAAAUAGUAUACCGACAACCCAAUGAACAAUCAUGAAGAUCCGGUGGAGCUCCAACUCGAUCGGGACGUCCAAUAUGUAUAUGGUCUCAUGCCCAUAUCUAAGAACAAAAAAAGUUAACUAUAAAAUUAGUAAAAGAAACUAAGUUAUAAGUUAUGAGUUAUUAUUAAAAAGAACUAAGUUAUAGUGAUUUUACCUGCAGUAGUGUACCAAAGCUACAACACUCGGCCUUUCCCUUCAUAGAGGCAUUCCCUAAUGCCUGAUAGAGAUGGGCCAAGAUAGCUGCGCCCCAAGCUAGGCCUCCGCAGAAGUCAAAAUCCUCAAGUAACGGUAGCCACUUGAGGUAAACACGAUAUCCAGUGGGGUUAGGAAACAAACUGCAUCCAAUUUGAAAUAAAAUGUAUGCUCGUGCAGAUGCUGCAACCAUGGCCACCGGAGCAUCCAAAGGAUAUGCCGGAAAUGCUGAAACAACCACUCCAAGCGGAUUUGGCCGGUGACGACAUCGUCUGGCUGUAUCCCAAGAAGGAGCUCAUAUGUAUGCAACAAAUCAAAUGAAACACAUCCUCUAACAGGCUUCCCGGAGACUCGUAGUCCAGCUAUAAUGGCCACGUCACGUAGCGUAACUGUCAUCUCUCCAUAACGUAGGUGGAAUGUCUGCGUCUCGCGCCUCCAUUGCUCUAUCAACGCCCCUAACAGAGCCUGAUCUAGCUGUACUCGUCUGAGGCGAGAGACGUAGAAAAAGCCAGCAUGUCGUAAAUGCUCUAUCACUCCCGGAUGCUCGACUGUCCAUGUGUUCAGUUUACGGUCAUGCUCCGUAAACUGAACUGGCGCGUACCUCUGUGAAGUUUAUUCACUUUUUAGUACAUUCCCCUUUUAAGUAUUUAAAUUACAAACUUUUUUGUAAAUGCAUAACUUAACAUACCUCUGAUUGCACGUAGCUCGACCGAUGCCUAUCCUGGUCUGAUAGAACUGAUAGAUCAACUGGCCCGGGAUCCUCGUGAUCGUCCAUCUGCAAAAUAAAAUAUAUAAAUUAGUGACUAUUAAUUGAGCAUUAAAAGAUAAAUCUAGAAAUAAAAAUACUGUAGAUAGUCAAACAUAAGUCAUCAACCUAAAGCUCUACGUCUACGGCCUUCAUUUGUUCUAUCUUGAUUAUUUGAACAUGUAGUCCUAUAAUGUCCCUGUUGUUUACAAAUAGUGCACAUAGUUCUUCGCAUUCCUUCUCUCUCGUCCAUGACAUUUCGAAUACGAGUUGAUCUCGGACGACCUUUCUUUCUCCUUAUAGGUGGUGGUGCCAGUGGUGGUCCUUGAGGUCGUGGCAAGCUUCUUUUGUCUGGGACAGGGUGAAAUUGCGGGAAGUAAGCAUGACGGUAAUUCUCACAUGUAUACCAUUCAGAACACAGACUAUGGUAGUCAAUGUUCAUUUGACCAUUACUGCAUACAGCUAGAAGAUGUGAGCAUGGCAACCUAGUGAGCUCAAACUCAUGACAUGAACAAGUCGAGCUUCUCCCGUCAAGAGCCACCUCAAAUUGUCCAUUUUGGGUAGUAAUUUGAAACUCCUUUACUCCAAAACGAUCCACACGGUGUCCUCUUGUGAUUAUCAUAAAACUCUUAAUUAACGCCUCCUGUUUUGGUGCCAAUACUGUAGAGUAUGUCUCACCUUUAUCACGACACUUAACAAAAUAAUUGUUCACCAUAUAAAAUGUAGCGGCCACAAAUGCUGUGAUAGGUGAACCACAUACACCUUUAAGCACUCCAUUUAAACUCUUCGACCGAUUUCUCGUCAUUGUCCCAAAACGCCGUCCUCCAUCAAAUGCUCUCGCCCAAUAUUCCCUUUCCCCUUGGAGCUCGUGCAUCCAAAGCCAUGCCGCCGGAUCCAUAUCUUUCAACUAAUCCUUAUGCUCAUAAUAUUUCUUUGCAGUUGCAGCACAUCCUAUACCCGUAUAAAAUUUAUUGAGCACAUUUUUAUUUUUGAAACCGGCUUUUUUCAUGUUAGCCUUCAUAUGGCGGAGGCACCAACAGUGAGCAUGUCCCUCGCUUCUCGGAAACUCCUCCACAACAAUCUCCUUUAACCGAGGAAAGCGGUUUGAAAUUAAACAAAUAGAUCGAUCACGUGUCACUAAGACCUUUAAAUGUCGUAAAAACCAACGCCAACUAGUUGCAUUUUCUCCCUCACAAAUAGCAAACGCCAAUGGGUAUAACCCAUUAUUGGAAUCUACACCCGUCGCAAUCAACGCAUGCCCUUGAUACUUUCCAUACAUAUGAGUUUCAUCAAUACUCAAUAAUGGUCGACAAUAAGAAACCCAUUAAUUGACAGCCCGAAUGCCCCAAAUACUCGUCCAAACUGCCUAACGCCAUUUGGUAGGAUUUUAGGAUCAAGACGCCAUUGAGUCCCGGGAUUCACGCGCUGUAGUAUAGAUAGGAAGAGACCAAGAUCGGUGUGUGACUCCUUCCAACCACCAUAAAUGAUCUGUAGUGCUUUACUUCUAGCCUGCCAUGCUUUCGAAUAAGGUAUGUCUACAUGCAAUUCAUUACGCACAUUUUCUUUAAUUUCCGCCGGCGUCAAAGUAAACUUUACCCUCAAUGAUGGGAGAAUAUGUCAACAUAUAAGAGAUGAAGUACAGUUUCGAUGUGCAGUGUUAAGCACCGGCACUAAACAUGUAUGUUGCCCGGUGUAUAUUUUAACUCUAAAAUAACUCACAUCCUUUGGUACCGAUGCAUGUAAUCUCCAAGGACAUGAAUCUACCAUGCAUUUAACCGUAUAUGCCUUUGUCGUCGACUUUAUUACUUUCAUUUGCACGUUGUGAGCAAUAUGUCAUUCCCCAACAGUGUGCAAUAAACUUGCUUUAUCACGAAAUACCCGACCAACCCAUAAGUCAUCAAUGGUAGGAGGGGGCUGUUCAAUCUGCGGACAGUCAAAUUCACCAUUAUCGACCAUAUACUGGUCAAUCCAAUCGUCGUCUUCCACAAAUUGCUCUGGAUGAUCUAUGUAAGGUACCGGACUUCUAAAAUUAUGAAAUUACGGUGUACAUUUGAUUGGAAAGCCAUUUGAAUGGGUCCGGUGAAGUUCGGUGAAGUUCGGGAGCAUUCGGACGUUUUGGUGCGCGUAGGCGCGAAAACGGAACCCGAAAGGCUAUGUUGGACCGAGAGCUAAAUCUGGCUUUAGCGUGGAUGAAAAGAUGAUAAAAACACGCUUGAAAAUAUGUUUGGAGAGUCUCGGUUCGAUUUGAAAAGAAUCGGAGGCCAAACGAGCGAAAACGGACCCCGAAAGCUGAAAAAGCUGAAAAUUUGGCUAAGUCCUAAAAUGCUGUUUUUCUGGACCUACGGGGACCGAUCCCUCAAGUCCAAGGACCGGUCCCUUAUACAAAAAAUGCCCCGCGCGGGCUGUGCACAAAAAUACAAAGUUGAGGGGGUUUCUUGCAAUUUGGUGUUAAUAGGGGUUAAAGGGAGGUGAUAUUAGCCCUUCUCUCUCACUCCCCCAUAUUCUAAAUACCAAAACACUAUCUCUCUCUCUCUAGAUUCGCUCUCCUCUCUAUCUAAAAGGGUGGAUUUUAGAUGAGGGAUUGGUGGAUAAGAAGGUAAAGGAGUAGAUCUUCAUCUUCAUCUUUUUCUUUCUUUGAUUUGGAGCAAGCUUUGGAGGUAAGCUUGAUGUCCAUUCAUGGUGAUUUCUUAGGGUUUGAUUUAUAUGCUCUAAGAAUGGUUUAGAUGGAAUCCUAGCAUGCUAAAUAGAUGGAAAAUACUUGAUUCAUGAAUCAAUUUGGAGUAUUUUACUAUAAUUGCAUCUAGGGCUCCAAUUUUGGGGUUUUUGGAAAUAUGAGGGUUUGAUCUUAAUUGACCCUCCGUAAACCUAAUUGGUAGGUAAACGAACGUGUUGGCAAAGUCGGUUCGGCGAUUCGUCAACCCUACGUGAAGAUAUUGAAGAAACGGACGUUCAGAGCUUCGUUUCCGCCUGGAGGGCCGAGGCAACGUCCAAAAAUUAUGAAAAUGGAUUUGGAGCACCGUGGCGGCAAACCGUAGACCUAUAAUUUCCGGAACUGCGAAGCGGCGCACGGUUGGUGCGCAACUGCAAGAUCAGGUCGUGUCGGAUACGGGUGCCGCGGGAGGCCGAUUGCAAGUGACUACAAGCAAUCGGAGAGCGAAUCGAGGUGGGUUGUGCUCACCGAAGCGACUAGGUCACCUAUAUGUCUAAGAGUAAUAUUUACAAUUGAUGCAUGCAUGUGUAGUGGUAGGUUGCAUGAGAUGAUAUAGAUGCAUGAAUCUUAUUAUGCUUGAUGUUUAAUGCCUACCAAUGAGAUAUGUAUGUUAAUGCAUUAAGGAAACUACCAUAGAAUGCAUGAUGAGCAUGUUAUAGAGAUGCUAGAUGAAUGCAUGAUUACAUAAUGCUAGGAGAAUGCAUGAUGACAUAUUGCAUGUAAUAGAUGAUGAUAACAUAUUGCAUGUAAUAGAUGAUGAUAACAUAUCAUGGGAUGCUAGUGGAUAUAUAUGCAUGUUGAUAUACUGGGAAUUAUGGUAAAUAACAUAUGUAUGUGGAACUUGGGUCGAUAACUCUAGGGUGAAUAGAGAACUCGACAACUGAAAAUAGAAAUGUGAAAUACUCGAUGUGGACAAAGUAGGAUGUCAAUAGAUCGAGUGGCAUUUGAUAUGACAUUAGUGUAAUAGAGACACUUGUGAUAUGAUGACUAUAGGGAUAGGUGGAUUCCCGAGUCAUUGUUUGUGACGCACUGGACCUUCGCAAAUUGCGAGGUUCGAGUGUUUGGACAGUAUCCCGAGUUUUUCCAGACUUUCUGGUGGGUCGUUGACAGUAUUCCGACUUAUGGCUCGCAUCCCGAGAAUUGUAGUAUUUUAUGCAGCGCUAAGGUCACCAAAGAGUUGGACUUAGCCUACCCUCGGAUUGCAUUCUGCACGAGGUGUAACCGGUGACAGGUCGAUGGCUGUACCGGUACACUUUUGAUGGUUGUACCGGUACACUUGUGGCGAAUUUCGAACCUGAGCCUCGGGUUUGCAUUUUCGUAGGAUGUGUACCGGUACACUUUCCCGUGUACCGGUACACUUCGGCAGAAUCUGAGCAGUUUGAACUGCAGGGGGUUUUUCGCAAUUGUGGACUUCUAUAUGACCACCCACGCCCCCUUGGGCCUUCCCUGAGCUGAGGAGGGUGGAGAUCAAGGUAAGAGAGCCCUCCAUCCCUUUCCUUCUAUUUUAUUUGGUUUUUAAGGCUUUUAUGCCUCAUUUUUGCUACUUUUGCAUCCUGGAGGCUUUUUCCACCAUUGGAGAGGACUUGGAGCUUUGUUAGAGGCUUGUUGGAGGAAAGAUCUUCCACCCCAUUUGAUUUGGAGCCCAAGUUGAGACUUCUAGAGAGGUUAGCAACAUGAUUUGAGCUUUUGAUCCAUGUUUUGCUAAGUUUUUGAGAUGAAACCCUAGAUUUGAUACUUAGGGCUUAUUUUGGGUAUUUUGAAUCUAGGACUUUUGGGGCUAAAUUGGUUGGAUUAGAACCUUCCUUGGGCUUGGAUUGGAAGGGAUUUAGCUCUCUUUUGGAGCUUGAGAGAGAUUUUUCACACAUUAGGUGAGUUUUAGCCCUUUUGCUAAAUUUGUUAAAGUUUGAUCUUAUAGUUGAUCGUAAUGCCCGUGUAUCUUUUCGCUCGAUACUUUUAGGGCAUUUUGAGACUCGGGGACAACUUUGUUCGGCGAAACGAGGCCCUACUCGACGGUUCGGUGGGUUUGACCUAGCCACACAAUGAGAAAUUCUCAUUUGUGCUUAACUAAGUAUCGUUAAAUGAAAAAGCAUGCAUAUUCUCUCUAUAUGUAAUUAUUGUGAAUUUUAGAAUGCUUAAAAGGCCUAUGUUAUAUGUGAUGAAAUUUUGGACCUCUAUGUAGUAGAGAGUAGCUUGGUAGGCCUAUGGUUGCAUUUAGCAUUCUAUAUGAGACUUGGUUUCAUGCUUCUAUAGUAUAAAUGAGCUUUGAUUCAUGCAUUUAAACUUAAGUUUAUUUGAGACAUGAAAGAUGACAAAAUUGCCAUAUAGAGGUAUUGAACUAGAAUGUAGGUGAACUAGAGAGCUAAUGUCAUCAAGCGGCAUUGAGCUCGGGACAUGUGUGAACCUAGUGAAUAGGGCCAUUGAGGAAUGUGGAACAUGCUUAAUCAUUAAAUGUCUAAGUGUCAUAAAGGGGCACUAGACCUAGAGAAUGUUGGAACUUCAUUUGUGACUCAGAACUAGAUCUUCGGGAUGCUAGUGACGAUACCAUGUUAGAGACAUGAGGGUUGGAUACUUGAGACUUGGACUAUGCUUGCUUGCCAUUUGUGCUCAUUCGCACAUGCUUGUGAGGGUCGCUCCCUACAAGCCGGCACUCCGGAGUUAGCCUUUGCGACCUAUGUUCGCUCGUGCGAUAUUGAGAAGCCUACGGGGUCGGGUGGGACAGACACAUUCCAAGAGUAGGGAUGUUGGGCUACCACAGGCACUUAAGCGGCACAAGCUGGACUACCUUUGGUAGGCCCUUGAUUGGAAAUGGAAAUCGACACGGUUUUGAGAAUGAAUAAUCGCUACUAGAUAGGCUUAGUAGUUGGAUUAGGUGACAUGCUCAUGACAUAGCAAUGGGGUAUAUAGUACACUUGCCGGUUUCAUGCAUUGCAUCAUAGUAUACUGGGUUAUCUUGAUAGAGCGUACUCCUUAUAUUUUGGCAUAUGGUAUUGUGAGGUUUACUUGUUCAUUAUGUUGAGGCAUAUUAGUAUGCAUUGGAUAUAUUACCUUAUGAUAGCGUAGAUGUACAUCACCAUAACAUCAUGCUUAUUGGAGACAUAGUAGUAUAGCAUUUUAUUCAUGCUUUCUUUCAGCAGUUUUUGUGUUCGCUAUUUAUUGCAUAUCACUAUAUGUCGUUACUUACUCUUUUCUUUUGGGGCCUAGUGGUGCAAUGAGCUGAGGUCAGUAAUUGCCCACUGGGAACUAUAAAUUAUAGUUCUCACGCCCUCUUUUUCUCGAUGUUUUUCAGAGCCUUCCACGGAGGGUGAGGCCAGGGAUCGCAGGAAGGGAGUUGCUUCGAGCUAGCUUCCUUCGAGGACGAGUUGCUAGGUGGUCUACCUCUCGAUUUAUAUUUCUUUUUGUGAGAGGUUGAGAGUUUUACCAGUGUACUAGAGGCCACCAUUUUUGUACUAGAGACUGAUAUUGUACUACUUAUGGUUUCUUUUAUUGUCUAGCUUUAUUUCUUUACUUUGGUGUAGAUGAUAGAACUUUACUCGCUCUGAUAUCAUUAGUAGUUACUAUUCUAUUUGUUCUAUCUCUUGCUUUACUUCCGCUUUUGUUGUAGACGCCUUAUAUGUGUAGACAUAUGGCGGGUCUGGGCACGCUACCGGGAGGGCCUUCGCCCGUCCCGGGGCGUGACAUUGUUAGCCCUGGUUGGUAGGGUAUCCUCGAGUUGAGAGUAUUGGAUCAUACUCACAGUCUGUUUUUUGCUUGUGGUGGUCGCUCCACACAGGUUUUGUCGUGCACUCCAGAGUUUGGUACGAGAGGGGUAGAGUUGAUGUCCCGCAAACGGUCCCGGGUUUGAGAGCGAGGUGAGUCUCCUUACCAUAUGGGAUGGCGAGGUGAGUCGUGGGCGAACCUUCUGGUAGCCAAUGGAUUGGGUGACAUUCAUAUGAGCUAUAGUUGCAUCCCAGUUGAGUGGAUAUAAGGCUGAGGUGGAAGUGAGACGUCCUUCACCUUGAGCCUGGCUUUGCGCGGUAUUCCGCGGGUGAUUGACUCAAGACCGAGUCGGGUGGAUAGCAUGAUAAAGGCAGUUAAAACCUUAAGAGCAAGUUAUAAUUGACAGGAAUCUAAGAUAGAGGAAAACUUAGAAGUCAAUUGGAUGAGCUGCGGAUAACAGGAACAAAAGUAGAAUCAAUUGAUCUGCUAGAUGGUUGCUUAGUUGCAUAAACUGUAUGACUUUCAUAUUGCAUAUUGUGAGGCAUAACAUGUAUUUCAAUACUUGAAUAUAUAUAUCUGUUGGAUAACUGUUGAACUAACAUAUUGCAGUGCCUCCUCGGACCUAUUGGUCGAGCUUUUUCCUUGAGUGGCCGUACCCACUGGGAACCAUGAGGUUGGUUCUCACCCCACGUUGUUUUGGGGUGUUACAGGUUCGUACGUGAGCGGCGUGGCGGCACGAGGAAAGAGCGUAGCUCCAUAGAUAGCUCCCUACCCCAGAGACCAGAGAUAGUAGUACCCCGAAUCGACAUAGCCUAGGGGUAGAGGGAAAGGACAAAGAACAAACUUGUAAUAAUCUUGUGAUCAUUUAUUGUAUUUGGAAGUAAAUGUAAUGAAAAUGUAAUGUAAUAAUGCAAGUGUGAUGUAAAAAUGAAUCUAAUUGGAAUCCUUGUAAUAACAUAGGAUGUGUUAUGUUGUUUGAUACCUUUCUUAUGCAAUCAUUGUAUGAAUACUGUUCCUAUUUGGAACCUCCUGUAUUGUACUAAUUGUGAUGCCUAGGACGUACAGGGGAGACUCUGUUCGUUCGGCGGUCUGUCGGUGUGCCCGAACCUGACCAAAUAGGCGGGGCUCGGGGCGUGACAAUCUAUGAACUCUGCACCUUCAUCUGGAUCAUCAACAUAUUCAUUAUUGACAAUUGGAUCAUCACCCUCAGUAUAUAUGAUAUCUGCGAGGACCCCCAGUCUGCCAUCAUGAUCUGCAUCAUAGUGAUGACCUUCCGGCGCAAUAUUCUCAUUUACGGCCAAAUUUGAAGGUUCAUGUUCAACACCCUCAUGAUGAGUAGCGUAACCGUCUUCAGCUACUUCUUGUUACACUUCCGCCCGAUUUUCUGUACCGUUAUUUUCGAUUCCCAGUGGAUACGAUCCAAAGUCAUGGACAUCAUGAGAAGUAUGAAAUCUGCAAUUAUUUCGUAAUUAAUCACUUUCUAACUAAAUAAAAUAGUAAAUGAUUAUAUUAAUUCUAGCGUAUUCUAACCUUUCUUCACAUGAGACACCUUACUCUCUACCCAGUGGGGCAUGAGAACUAGAAGCCGUGGCAUGAUGAAUAGUACGUGGGAGGGGAGGAGGAUCACCAACAACUAUAUUUGAAAAUUCGUACUCCCUACAAUUGAUGGAAGAAGGUAAUAUAAACAUUUGUUAUAUUAAAAUAAUUAUACAAAAUUCAUAUUUUGCGAUACUAACCUAGGUGCAUUUGCUCCUCUUCCGAUAUCAGCAUGAAAAGGUUCUCUUUCGGGGCGAGGGGAUAAUAUAUCCACAUUAUGUCCCAAUUUAUGUCACGCCCCGGGGCUCAGCGGAAGCCUACCCGGCACGUGUUCAGACCCGCCAUACGUCUAAAACAUAUAAGGCGUCUACCAAAAUUUCAAUAAAUACAACUAUGCUAUAAAGAACUCUAGCGAUAUCAGAGCAAAAGUAACUAGGUUCUACAACAAGGAAUAGUAAAAGAGUGCUAAAAAUCCACUAAAAUAAAACAUAGCUUAAUACAAAAGAAACCCAAAAUACAAGUACAAAGGGGAGUACAAUGGUGGUCUCUAUACAUGAUAACAAAACUCUCUCUCACCAAAAACCAAAAGAGAGAAUGACCACCUAGGAGCAAAACUAGCUACACUAGCUAGCUAGGCGAUCCUCUUGCCGCGAUCCCGUGCCUCCACCGGUGCUGAAGGCUCUGAAAUAAAACCAUAAAACGAGGGGCGUGAGAACUAUUAAAUAAUAGUUCCCAGUGGGCAGUUACUGACUUCAGUGAAAUGCGCCACUAGGCCCAAGCGUGAAAAGGGUAAGUAGAUACACGAUAAUUACAAUAAGUAUGUAAAUAGCGUAAACAAUAACCCAUCACAUGAUCUUUACUUUGAAUGAAAUUGCACAAGUAAUAACCUAUCACAUGAUCUCUACUUUGCAUGAAAUUGCAUAAGUAAUAAAUAGCCAUCUCUUGUAUUCUACUUAGCAUAUAUUGGCAUAAGUAAUGAACAACCAUCUCUUGUAUUCUACUUAGCAUACAUUGGCAUAAGUAAUGAACAACCAUCUAUUGUAUUCUACUUAGCAUACAUUGGCAUAAGUAAUGAACAACCAUAUCUUGUAUUCUACUUAGCAUACAUUGGCAUAAGUAAUGAACAACCAUCUCUUGUAUUCUACUUAGNGAUUCACGCGCUGUAGUAUAGAUAGGAAGCGACCAAGAUCGGUGUAUGACUCCUUCCAACCACCAUAAAUGAUCUGUAGUGCUUUACUUCUAGCCUGCCACGCUGUCGAAUAAGGUAUGUCUACAUGCAAUUCAUUACACACCUUUUCUUUAAUUUCGGCCGGUGUCAAAGUAAGCUUUACCCUCAAUGAUAGGAGAAUAUGUCAACAUAUAAGAGAUGAAGUACAGUUUCGAUGUGCGUGUUAAGCACCGGCACUAAACAUGUAUGUUGCCUGGUGUAUGUUUUAAUUCUAAAAUAACUCACAUCCUUUGGUACCGAUGCAUGUAAUCUCCAAGGACAUGAAUCUACCAUGCAUUUAACCGUAUACGCCUUUGUCGUCGACUUUAUUACUUUCAUUUGUACGUUGUGAGCAAUAUGCCAUUCCCCAACAGUGUGCAAUAAACUUGCUUUAUCACGAAAUACCCGACCAACCCAUAAGUCAUUAUUGGUAGGAGGGGGCUGUUCAAUUUGCGGACGGUCAAAUUCACCGUUAUCGACCACAUACUGGUCAAUCCAAUCGUCAUCUUCCACAAAUUGCUUUGGAUGAUCUAUGAACUCUGCACCUUCAUCUGGAUCAUCAACAUAUUCAUUAUUGACAAUUGGAUCAUCACCCUCAGUAUAUAUGAUAUCUGCGAGGACCCCCAGUCCGCCAUCAUGAUUUGCAUCAUAGUGAUGACCUUCCGCCACAAUAUUCUCAUUUACGGCCAAAUUUGAAGGUUCAUGUUCAACACCCUCAUGAUCAGUAGCGUAACCAUCUUCAGCUACUUCUUGUUGCACUUCCGCUCGAUUUCCUAUACCGUCAUUUUCGGUUCCCAGUGGAUACGAUCCAAAGUCAUGGACAUCAUGAGAGGUAUGAAAUCUGUAAUUAUUUCGUAAUUAAUCACUUUCUAACUAAAUAAAACAGUAAAUGGUUAUAUUAAUUCUAGCGUAUUCUAACCCUUCUUCACAUGAGACGCCUUGCUCUCUACCCAGUGGGGCAUGAGAACUAGAAGCCGUGGCAUGAUGAAUAGUACGUGGGAGGGGAGGAGGAUUACCAACAACUAUAUUUGAAAAUUCGUACUCCCUACAAUCGAUGGAAGAAGGUAAUAUAAACAUUUGUUAUAUUAAAAUAAUUAUACAAAAUUUAUAUUUUGCAAUAUUAACCUAGGUGCAUUUGCUCCUUCUCCGAUAUCAGCACGAAAAGGUUCUCUUUCGAGGCCAGGGGAUAAUAUAUCCACAUUAAUGUCACAAUUUAACAUUCUAGAAUAAUACCCCUGAGAUAAAAUCAUCUGUUUUUCAACGAAAAUUAUCAAACAUGGAGGGUUUCCCAACAAUGCCAUCGCACCACACAAUGAGUCAUCGUCCGUAACUUCAACCACAUCGAAUUGAUUCAUUUCGGUCGAAUAUCGGACUUUGAUAAUUAGACGAUACUCAUCUCUCGGAGUAUCGGUUAAUCUAUAUAUUUUUCUCUUGAAUUCUGUAAAUGUAAUAUCCACUGGAAUACCACUUAAUUUCUUAUGACCGCCAAUGUACUUUGAAUUGUUAUCGUGCGCCAAUAUUUCUCCAUUCCAAUGAACAACAAUAGCCACAUUACUACGCGCCAUCCUAACUUAAACAAAAUAUAAAAUUUGUAAACAAACAUAAUCAUAUCAAUAUUUGAGAUAAAGUGCAAAUUUUACUAUUUCUACACUCUCAAUGAGAUGGACCCAAAAUUUAUAUUAAAAAAUUUGGUAUACAAGUAGCAUUUCUCUUUCUUUUUUCNGAAUAACCAAAAGUAAAAACGUUGGAUACAGAUACCCACUCAACUAUAUUUCUUUGAUCGAUUAUCGCCCAUCAAUUGCAUAAUUUUACUCAAACUAAUUAGAAAGUUCAUCAAAUUCAUCAGAUUUUAUCUAAUUUAUUAAUAAUAUUAUCAAAUUUAAUAAUUUUAAUUAUUUUUAAAUAAACACAACUAAGUUAAUUAAUAGUUAAUAACAAACAAAUUGAGUGUUUAAAUCUAAUAAAAUUUUAAACAUCAAUAAACUAACCUAAUGAAGCAAUGUAGAACUAACCUAAUGGAACAAUGUCAAAAUAACUACAACUUUUUCAAUGUCAAAGUUGAGGAAUCAAUGUCAAAGUUGAGAAAAAGUUGAGGAAUCAACUCUACUUAGGAGAAACAAUGUAGCCUAAUGAAGCGAUGUCAAAAUAACUAACCUACUGGAACAAUAUAGAAGGAAUGCUUAGGAGAGAGGGCACGGCAGCAGCACAGGUGGGCGGCGGCGACGGCGGCGUCGGCGUCGGCGUCAGCGUCGGCGUCGGCGUCAGACUCGUUGGGUCGGAGUGAGGGAGACAGAGAGGAGUGAGUGAGAGUGAGGGAGACACUGUGGGAGACAGAGAGAGCUCGGGCGGGGCUAGUCAGGGAGAAAGGAAAAGGGUUCGGGUGCGGUUAGGGUAUAUCGACUAAAUGCGGUGAAUGGUUCACCGCAUAUAAAUGCGGUAAUCCAUUCACCGUAUUUAAAAACGGUGAACCAUUCCCCGUUUUUGUCACGCCCCGGGGUCCCUUUUUAGUUUGGAAAAACAGCGGAAACGACUAAAUUUUUUUUUUUUUUUUUUGAAACACCUGACCCCAGAGUAUGUCAGAUCCGCCACAAAUACAGGGAAUCCACUGUUCACACGGACAGAGUUUCCUCUGUAUUUGCACGGCGUCGCACAAGUACAAUUAUACAAUCAGAGUACAACCAGAAUACAACCACAGCCAUAUGAACAUACAACCUCAACCGCACAUACAGACGUCCAUACAUUCACCAUUCACAACACGACGGUAUUCAUAGUUUUAAACAUAAAUCCAGAUCUAUCAUUUGAAACGUUUCCUACCCGGAAACAAGUUUUGAAAUACUAAGUCUCAGAAAUCCAUUGGAAGCUUCUUUUAAGACUGUUUCCCACACGGAAACNAGUUAAUAACAAACAAAUUGAGUGUUUAAAUCUGAUAAAAUUUUAAACAUCAAUAAACUAACCUAAUGAAGCAAUGUAGAACUAACCUAAUGGAAUAAUGUCAAAAUAACUACAACUUUUUCAAUGUCAAAGUUGAGGAAUCAAUGUCAAAGUUGAGGAAAAGUUGAGGAAUCAACUCUACUUAGGAGAAACAAUGUAGAAUUUCGAACUAACCUAAUGGAACAAUGUCAAAAUAAGUAACCUAAUGAAGCAAUGUCAAAAUAACUAACCUAAUGGAACAAUGUAGAAGGAAUGCUUAGGAGAGAGGGCACGGCAGCAGCAUAGGUGGGCAGCGACGACGGCGGCAGCGACGGCGGCGGCGACGGCGGCGUCGGCGUCGGACUCGCUGGGUCGGAGUGAGGGAGACAGAAAGGAGUGAGUGAGAGUGAGGGAGACAGUGUGGGAGACAGUGUGGGAGACAAAGAGAGCUUGGGCGGGGCCAGUCAGGGAGAAAGGAAAAAGGUUCGGGCAGGGUUAGGGUAUAUCGACUAAAUACGGUGAAUGGUUCGCCGCAUAUAAAUGCGGUAAUCCAUUUACCGUAUUUAAAAGCGGUGAACCAUUCCCCGCUUUUAAAUGUGGUAAAUAGUUAACCACAUUAUGAUGCAGUAAACGAUUUACCGCAUUCUUUGGUUUUACACGCAGCGUGUCACGCCCCGGGACCGAUACCAAUUUGGGCUGGCCCGAGCACGUCAAAUAGACGCCGAACGGACAGAGUUUUCCCUGUCUGCCCAAGGCUCAUCACCUGUAUAUUUUCAAACAAAAAGUGCACUAGCGGAAACAUACACAAACGGCUUACACGAGGGUAAGCAAUAGCCAUGAGUGAAAGAAAGGGAACUAAACAUCUACACAAGUACUAUAAUUCUCUUUUGAUCACAUACAUUACAUUUAACCUUCAUAUUCGUAAAGUUUUUACAAUUCAUUACAUACUUUUCAUCAUUUCUUUUUACAUCACAUUGCCUCAAAAUAAACUUUACAUUCUUUUUCGUUCUUUGCUUAUACAUUAACAUCUUAAAUCAUCAAAUACAAAAGAUGAUAAAAGGGAAUGCUACUACAAAAUGUAAAUAACCCAACUCGGGUGGCCUCUGACUAAGGUGCGAUACCUUUACCGCAGUCGCUCGCCGGCUCGCUUGGUCUCGACUCUGUGGAAUAGUGGAGUGAGAACUACAACAAAGUUCCAGUGGGUUCGGCCCCAACCUCACCGACUUUCCCACUAGGACUAACUCAGGCAGAAUAGAAAGGAUAAGCAGAAUAGUAACCAAACUAAAAUCAUGAUGCUAAUAUGCCUGAACAAUAAAGCAAGAAGUAUGCUCAACGUAAAUCAUGCAAGUAUGCAAGUUCUUUGUUCUUUACUCUUUAUUCUUUAAUCUUUGUUCUUUGUUCUUUAAUCUCACGGCUAACCUGGGGGUUUCGCCACAUUAACUUGCCCAUAUUAAGUCCAUCAUCGCGGGCCCUCAGCUGCCUCCCGCUAAGACCGUCCUCGGGUUUACUCCAACCCGUGAUGCAAAACUCCGGAGCGCAUCGCUCGAGGGGGAGCGACCGCCCUCGAGCACGAAACUCAUAGCAAGUAUGAUCGAUCCUUAACUCUAAGGAUAUAUAGUUCAAUCAUUGUUUUUACACUAACUCUAGUGUUCUUUACAUCACUUUAUUUUGCUAACUCUAGUAAUCAUCGUUCUUUAACUUUACUCAUUCUUUAUGCAACACUUUGCAUUAACUUUAACCAUUGUCAUUGUUCUUUUCAUCACAUUGAUUCUUUGAUGCCACACACUAACUCUAGUGUCGACUAUAUACUUUCGAAUGCCACUCGAUCUAUGCUUUUAUGUCACUUUGUUCUUUAAUCUCAUUAGGUUCUCACAUUACCUCUCAUGCAUAUAUAGGGUGUUAUAGGUUCUCAACCAACUAGAAAAGCACGUGUACAUCAUGCAACAUUUACAUAAUUAUCAUCACAUUUUACCCUACAAUGCAUGCAACAACAUAUACAUAAAUGCUCAAUUAAAUGACGCAUUAGGCAUAGAAGGAAUUCCAACAAGUUUGGAUAGCACCACCCACCUUGUAGGCUUACUUAGGUGCUCCGGUGAUUUUCUUGGAAUUUUUAGACUCCUAGUUCUUCACCUGCGGCAAAACGAAGCCCUAUUAGGCCAUUUUGCUAAUAUCUUUACAUUAGCUUUUCGUAACGUCAAUCCGAGCGCACCAACACGUCGGAAAUACCCCCAAUUAGGUUUUUAGAGGGUCAAUUUUAUUUUAGAACCUUUACAAGCAAAAGCCCCAAUUUGAGUGCCCUAGCUCAACCCACAUCAAAACCUAGGGUUUGAUCUUAUUAGGAAGCAAAAGAAGCUUCAAUCUACUCUAGAGACUCCAUAAAAAUCAUCCUUAGUUCAAUCCAAACCCUAGUUUGGAUUCUACCAUGAGAGGGGUGAAGCUCAUUUCUAAGCUUCAUCACACACACCCAACCCAUGGUUUGAUCUCUAAAAGAAGCAAAAGAUAGCUCCAAAUACUCAAUAGGUUCCAUUAAAAUCAUUUCUAGGUCACUUAGUUCUCAUUCUAGGGUUUUACCAUGAUUAAGGUUCAAGCUUACCUCUAAGCUUGCUCCUUUGUUGCUCCAAAGAGGAAGAAGAGGAGAUAGCUUCACUCAUUGCUUUUUCUUCACCUUCUAUUCCUUCUCCUUUUUCUUCUUUUUCCUUAAUUUUCUUUCUUUCUUUGUCUUCUUCUUCUCCUUCUUGUCUUCUAGAGAGAGAAAGAGAGAAGAGAGGGAAUGUGAGGGAGAGGGAAUGAGAAAUAAGCCCUCACGACCCCACAUGCAUAGCCCAUAUAUUGCAUAAAUGCAAAUAAACCCCUCAACUUUUAUCUUAUUACACUCCUCAAACUGGGCAGAUUUCGGGUUUGGGGACCAGUCUCCCCGACUUGGGACCGGUCCCAGAGGGCUCUCCCCGCGAGCAGCCAGGGCUCCUGCGCGAUGCAACCGGUCUCUCCUAGAGGGACCGAUCUCUCGGGGACCGGUCUCUCCCCGCAGGGACCGGUUCCCGAGAGCUGAUUUUCUGGGACUUAGCUGAUUUUCGGCCUUUCUCAAUUCUCACGCAUUCGGGAACCGGUCUCUCCCACGAGGGACCGGUCCCUGAGAGCUCAAAAAUUGCAGUUAGCAGAUUUUUGAUUCUUAAGCUCUCGAAAACCUCCCACAACGCACUUUUGGUCAUUUUAACACCUUCGGACUUUCCGAAGUGUACCAUUAUCGCACUUUGGUCAAUUUGACUAAAGUUCGAUAUUUAUCUUCCGAAUUUUCGGUAUAUUACACAGCGUGCCUAGACCCACAAAUGUGGUGAAUGGUUCACCGCUAUAUGAAUGCGGUGAACCAUUCACCGCAUAUAUGCAUUACCCACAACCCGCGCUGACCUGGUCUAUUUGAAGGCUAUUUUUACAAUAAAUUUUUAAGGAGGCCUAUUUUUGUAAAUAAAAUUUUCGGGAAGCCUAUUUAUAAAAAAAUUCGUAUAAAGGAGCCAAUAUUCAUAAAAGUAUAGUAGCCGAACUCUCUCUCUCUCUCUCUCUAUAUAUAUAUAUAUAUAUAUAUAUAUAUACACACACACUAGUUAAGGAACCCUACGGUUCUUUUAGUUUCUUUACCGAUAAUUAAUAAAUAACAAAAUAUUUUUAUUUAUAAAAUAAAUAACAAUAUAUUUCACUUUAUUAAAUAAAAAAAUUUUAGAGGCAUUUUCCAUCACAAAGUAAUGGGCCUGUAUUUAUUACAACAUUUUGACUAAUCUAAUUCAUUUCUUUACUAAUUAUCUAACUAAAAUAAUUUACUAACUGAUUAGAAAGUUAAGUUCAGUCUAUAAAUCCACAGUGGGACGUUCCAGGCUCCCGUCGCUUGUUCCGUUGCGGUAUCUCAGAAGCAGUAAGGAAGGGACGCGCGAACCCCAUCCAUCCUGACGAUGUGUAUCAUCAUGCCAUGUUCAAAUAUAAAAAGACAGUUAUUUUUAUAUUUAUGUAAAUAAAUUAACAUAUUUUUAUUAUUUUAUAUAAUAUUCAUAGUUAAUAAAUUUAUUAAUUUAUUAAAUUACUUUAAAUUAAUAUUUUAAUAUUAAUUAAUUAAAUAAAAAUAUUUUUAAUUUAAAAUUAUAACUCUUAUUUUAAUUUAUUCCAAUCUAACUAUACAAACAAGAUUUAUCUUAUUUGUACCUAAUUCUUUUUUGUAACUAAUAAUUCUUAUUUUCAGAAACAAACUAACUUUUAAGGGCUAUCUUCGCUCCCAAACCCUAAAACCUAAUCUGCUCUCCCCGACUCCCUCACAGCCACCUGCACCCUCCUCCCUGUGCACGCUGCGCACAGCCCGGCCGCCGGAGACCGAGCUCCGGCCGCCAGAUUCCUCUCUCUCUCCCACUCCCUCAAUCCUCUCUCAAUCCCUGUCCCCCGCUCUCUUUUUCCUUGUGGACCAGACUUGCAAGGAGGGCCGCGCCUCUCCCCUCGGGCUCUCCCCCGCGUCGCGGACCUCCGGCGGUCCCUCCCCGGCGACCCCCAGCUCCGCCGAGGCCGCGGAGCUCCUUCUCGAGCAGCCUCAGGUAGAAGGGAGUUAUGCAGUAGUUAGGGGAGUUGGUAUUGGUUUUGGAUUCUAAAGAGAGGCUCUUCUUGAAAGUAUAGGAGACUGCAUAUGUAAGAAAUUAAGUCCUUGAAGGGCACAUAUAAAAGUAUAGAUUUUGCAGAGAUAUGUAUAUACGUGUGCAUGUAUACUUUUGCAGCGAUAAGUUUGUAAAUAUCUCUUAAUAUAUCGAGCAUAGGGAUGACUUGGGGAUAAAGAGGGCAUAGUGCUAUUCUAAUGCCGAAAUAGUUAUUCCCUGAUCAUCCUUCAAUCACGUGGUAUGAAGAGAACGAUUUCUCCUGGUGUGCCUUUGUUUGCUUCUUUUUGGCAUAUAUAUAUAUAUAUCCCAUAAUCAAUACUGCGUAUUAGUCCUUCACGUCUUCUUACUUCGAUAGUAGAAAGCAUUCUUUGUUGUGCAUAUUAGUCUUAGCUGUGCUUUUUGUGCAUGUUAGUCUUAGCUGUGCAUAUUAGUCUCUAGGACAAAGCCAAGAUUGCCCAGGAUAAUCAGUUAUCCCUUUAAGGGUGUGUUUGGUUCGCAUUAUGAAAGAUUACUAGGAAUGAAAAGAUGUCCGAGAAUCUUAUUCCUAUUCAUCCUAUUACUAAGAAUGUGGAAUUCCUAUGUUUGGUUCGCACGGUAAUAUUAUUUAGCUAUGUUAUUUUAUAUUACAAAAAAUAUACAAUUAAUUUAUUUAUUUUUUAAUUAAUUUUAGAUAAUGCUACCAAAAGUUUCAACAUCUUUUUAGAAAAAAGGGAGAGAGAGCAUAAGUUAGAGAGAGAGAGCAUAAUUAAAAAAAUAGAAAGAAAAAUAAAGUCGAAAUUGGAGUGAGUGAGAGAGUUGAAAUUUUAGAAAGAGAGAGAGAAAGCUUAGUUUAGAGAGAGAAAAAAAGUUGAAUUUUAGAGAGAAAGAUAAGUUUAGAGAGAGAUAUAAGGUUAGAGUAUAAAGAAAAAUAAUAUCAAUUAGCCGGCGGGUAAGGAGAAAGAAAGAGAUUAGACAUAUUAUGAUUACCCCAAUCCAUUAAUAUGAGGAUACCCACCCUCCCUCAAAGGAAUGAGAUUAGUACUUUGGGGUGAAUCUUAUUCCCAAGUGAAUUUAAUAUUACCAACUAGAUUACUUGGUGCGUUUAGCUAAACACCGUCAUAUUUUUUUUAUUCCUAUUGGAUUACUAGGAAUCUGUAAAAGAUAGCGCGAACCAAACGCACCCUAAGAGUUUAUCCAAUGAGUGGGAUGCAUCCUUAAUUGUAAAUCAAAAUACUCGUGUUGGAUUUCCUUUCUAUACAGAGUUAAUUCUCAAAACCUUCAGUGCCGCAAUAGAGUUAUUUCAUUAGUUAUCUUGACUUGGAUUUCACAAAUUGGAAAUUUUCCACAUAUUAUGGUUAUUCUUAGUUCUAGCAAUGUAGGUCUCUUCAAAAUAGUUAUGAUUGUUGGAAACUAGUUUGUGUUUAAGCAUUGUUUCUGGGGAUACCAUUGAUUUAUUUACUUAUUUUCUUAUACCUUUGAAAAAUAGUUAAAAUGCAUGGAGACAAUUAUACGGGAAAGGACUUUGGAUGCUGCCUGCCAUUAUUCUUCUUUAAUGGGGUCUCCACAAUUGAGUUCGGAGUUGGCACCUCCUUUUCAAUCUAGUUCAAGAAUUACUCCUAAUUUGGCACCUCAAUCAAUUCAUGGCUCCUCUAUUUCUAACUUCUCUACAGCGCUUGGUAAUGACUGUUCUUCUUUUCAAAGUGAGUUGAAUUGAAUAGAGAAGUUUGUGAAAUUUUUGAAAUUUGACUCCUCUUUAUUUUAGCAACAAUUAAAUGGUCUCUUGCAGGAUAUCGACCUAAUGGACAGCAUAGAGUGGUUGCUAGCUUCUCUUCUUGUUCGAACGGUAGAGUUGUGGAUUCAAUUGGCAGCAUUUUGGGAACAAAUUUUGCUCAUCAAGCUUCUUAUUCAUCAUAUUUGUGUUCUACUCCCUGUAACACUUCGUUAAAAAGAGCUGUCCAGAACAACGGAGCAAGCUCAAAUAUAUUAUGUGUACGUGAUAAUGGAUCGAGGUCUCUCAAUGAUCAAACUAGAAUGACCUUGGAGCAGUACAAUAUAUAUGGUACUAGUUAUUCUUUGCAUGGUGUGUUAAUUUUAAUGGGAGGUUUAGCUUGUCUCAGUUGCAUUCUGUUCGGAUUUCUUAUGCAUGUAGCUACCGACAAGAUCUAAGCAAAAGUGAUUUUCAAAGUUUAAGUGAAUCCGAUCUAUAUUAUUUGUUUUGAAGCUUUUAAUAGUUCUUUUAUGAUCUUGAUGCUUUCUUUUUUUCUCUUUAUAAUUGUAUCACAUAUGUACUUGGCAGAUAAUACACAUUUGAGCUUGGGCUCUGAAGCAUGUGUUCCUUGGAUGCACAAUUCAUCUCUAUCAGCACUUGGUUCCAGCAGGAAAUCUAAUUUUAUGGAUAAAUUCAAUUGCGAAUCCCCUGUGUUACUGGACUGUGCUGGAAUGGCUUCUGUUUUGGGCUUAGGGGCAUCGAAGCGGUCACGAAACAUUCACGAAUUUCCAGAAUCAGUUCUGGAGGCGCAUGAUUUAUUACAAGGGCAAUCUUUUCAGGAUACCCAAUUUAGUAACAAUCAUCAUCAUGUAUUGCAAAAAGAAGAUAACUUUGGGCAGCCAAAGGUGUUGACUGAGAAAAAUGCUGUAGGCCCUUCACAGCAGAACAGCAAAUUAAUUGAUUUUGCUCAGGUGAACAGUAAUGUUGCAAAAACUCAUGAAAAGUCUCCUACCUCGAGUAGCAAAUUGGGCUUGGAGAAAUUGAUUAAUUUUCUAUUUCUUUAUGAACAUGUAUUGAGCUGCUCACUUCGUGAAAGGGAAUGUGAUGUACACCUUUGUCCAAAUUUUAAAGAGAAGCUUAAUCACAUUUUGAAUUGUAAUGUUAAAGGCUGCGAAAAAAGUUGUUAUGGGCCUAGGGUACUCAUCGAUCAUUAUAGGAAGUGCCGCUCAAUUGAAUGCCAGUUGUGUGGUCCAGUCUGGAGAAAAUUAGCAGAAGUUUCUGACCAGCUGCGACCUGCAAAACGUUGUAGGACUGAAAGCUGUAGUGCCUUUCUCUCCAGUCAAAAUGAAACUUUUAAAGAACAACGGCCUGCCCUGAAUUCUAAUGGUUCUUCUUCCCAAGGUUCAUCGAGAACAUUUCAAGGGACAGUGAUGUCUACGAAUGUGAGCUCUGAGAUUCAAGAUGUGUCUAUGAAUCAGAAAUUUUUGGACUCUUCUACUUCUAAAGCUGACGACUGGAAUGCGAACCUUGUGAGGCUGGAAGAGACUAAAGUGCAACGAGAGCAAGAAAAGACAAAGAUGAAGAAUGAGGUCGAUGAUGUUGCAGCUGAAAUACAAGAAAAUGCAGAAAUUCAGAACAAGGACAGUGACUUCGCCGUUAGGAUGCAAGAAGACCCACAUAUUAAGGACGAGGACGGUAAUAUCGUGCUCAAGCUACAAGAAAAAACAAAAAAUCAGAAUGAAAUUGGAGUCAGAGUUGUGGUCGAGAUGCAAGAAAAUUCACGAAUUCAGAAUGAGGGCAGUGAUUUUGUGCCCGAUACAGAAUGCAAGCCUGAUUCCUUACAAGUUGUCACUCCAGUGGUUAUUGAAUCAAAUUUGGUAAAUCCGAGAAUUGAAGUGGUUUCACUUAUCGAUACAUUCACUGCAGAGAAAAUCAGGGAACACCUUAAGAGUCUCAAGCAAUGCAGUGGUCAGGUAAAUCAACAAUACUAUGAGGCUGGAUUCACAUUUUCUUUUACUGUAUUUUUCUGUGUGAGAAGUCAGUCAAGGGUUUGCUGCAUUAGAAAAGGAGGAUAAAAAUCUUCUACUGUAUAGUAAGUGAAUUUUCACCUCCAAAUUUAUAGGCUUAAUUUUGAUGACCAAAAUGGAUUUUAUUAUAGCUGAUUGUUUGCAUGCUUUGAUGAAUAAGAAUUCCUUUCAAUCUCUAUCUAACUUUGAAUGUUUUGAUGGUGGAGCCAAGGCAUAAAAUAUCAUAACCAUGUUCUUGAGGGAAUGGUAAUGAAAUUAUAUCAACAUAACCCGUUAGGUAAUUUAAAAUCUUUUUAUCGGAUCAAGGAGAUCUGGUAUAAAGUAGGUUUUCAGAAUUGCUUUCCUGUAGGAUUUUUUUUACAUUUACACAACCAGACAUUCUAAUUGUGUUAAUUUGAAAGUCUCUUGGUAUUCUGUUGUGCUAGCUAUGAAAACUAAUUAAUUUUGGAGAAUAUUGAAACAGCCUCUAAACUUCUCUCUCAAACACUUUUGUCCUUGAACUUUCUGAUACUGCAAUUCCAUUAUUGGCCACUUAAACUUUUCGCUUUAACACGUUGGUGCUUGAACUUCCUCACAUUGCUAUUCCGUUCCGGCCAUCAAAAAAUCUGACUUCUCAUGAUUUCCUUGUAAGUAACCUUUUAACCUUGUUUCAGGUACUAAAACUGGAAGUUCCUUUACCUGAAAAGCGGAUGUUCAAGGAUGGAACCCCAUUAUAUGAAAAAUUUCAGGAAAUAAGAUGUUUAAGUAGAAGUUUAGGGCCUAAGUUGUAAUAUCUGGAUAGCCUAGUAAUGCAAUUUAUCCUACUAAUACUAUGGAAUUGGUAUUAAUCUGUUACUCUUUUUCAGGGUCAUGCAAAAUCUGGACAAUCCCAACAGCAGGAUCGAUUGAGAACAUGCACUUUUUGUGGGAUGGAACAGCUUGUUUUUGAAACCCCUCCAAGAUUUUGUGCAUUAUGUUCCAAGCAAAUCAACCCUAGAGGACUCUACUAUGAAAACACGGCAAAAGGAGAUUAUCCACUUUCUUUCUGUAGCAAAUGCUUCAAAGUUCCUGGUAAAGUUAUAAAGACUAUUAAUGGAGAUGUUCCGAAGGUUAACUUAGAUGAGAGAAGGUGUUAUGCUGAAACAGAUACUAAAAAUGAACCAGUAAGUGCAUAUCCUCUGUUAUGACAAGCGAUUUUACUUAUAUAUUCUUGCAGAAUUAUUUGUUUGCACAUGUACUCUUUAAAAAUCUGAAUUUUCAGAUGUACCCCUGUUGACAGUGUGAUUUGAGAGAGGGAACUAUACAAUUUGUUUUUCUUCUUUUUCUUUUUUUUUCUUUUUUUUUUUUAACGAAAGAAGGGGGCCCUGUUGGCUCUUUUUUUUUUUUGGGUGGGUGGGUUUUNCUUUUUUCUUAUCCUUUUUUCCAUCUCCUUUUCUCCUUCCUUAGCGUGUUGUACUGACAAAGGUUUAGUAUGUUAUGCAUUCCUCAGUAAAAUAUUCACAGUAUGUAGAAAAAUCAGAUAAGGAAUUUAGAACUGUUAUGUAUGUUACGCUGCGUGUGCUUCGAACUUUUUAACGAAUAAAGACUAUUUCACGUACUCGAAAUGUGUGAUUGUUUGUUGAAGUACUUACUAUUUUGGUCGUAUCUCUUUCUUCCUUUCAAAUGGAGAAGUUAUAAGAAAGGGUCCCGUAGACUGGACAAGAAGGACAGAACUAAUUCUGCUACCUUUUCGGAAACGAGUUACACCAGCGAGUCGUAUCAACAACCAUUCAAAACACGAAGUUUUUGGUUAGAACCAACGUUGCCAAGUGCCGGAGGCGAAAGAUCGAGGAGAUUAUACGUCACAUCCGUUCAUACAAGGUGAAAUUCGGGAACUAAUUAAAGAGGUAACUUUUCUCGUGUUUAAACUACAUGGGUUGAUAAUGUGAAAUGUGUCCACUCGGUGACGGUUAAGUGUCUUUUCUGUACUCUACUUAAUACUGUUUCUUUCACUAUAAACGUUUAUAUUGGGGAUGUUGUAAAUAGUAAAUGUAAAUACGUAAGCAUUCGGGAGGUUUAUGUAUACAGUGAGCUUAUAUGGUAACGUGUAUGUUUAUAUGGAGGUUUGAUUUGGCUGGGAACCGUGUUGGUCGGGAGGAGGUUGUGGUGGUUCCUGUUCCUUCUUGAUGCCCUAAUUUGUCUGCAGUGUGACCAAUGCAUAGCUAUUAGUGGUUGGGACUAUGUCCACUAUACUUUGGCUAGAUUGAGUUGUGAUCUGAGUUUGGUGUGAUAUGGUUUUCUUUUGUUUAGUCAGCGCAUAACAAGUUGGUUUAGGUUGAGUUUGCUUUAAGCAUGAUAUAAAAACCUAAAAUGUUUCGUUAGAUACUUGGUCCCUGGGAUUUGACCCAUAUGUCAUUUUAUCCUUAGAUUUGAAAUGUAACAAUUUAGUCCCUGAAUUUUGUUUUUGCUUAAUAAUAAAGUCCUUCCGUUAGGCCUUGUUUGCUAUUGUGUUUGUUUUUUAUUUUUUAAAUAGAAUUUUGUAUAUAAAAUGGUGUAAGAAUGGAUAGUGGAUUUGCUUACAAUUAGUGUUUGAAAAGGCGCACGCCUCAGCACCUAGGCGCGAGGCGUGGGCCUUAGCGUAGCUGAGGUGUAGUGCCCCCUCUGAAGCGCGCGCCUAGGCUUUGAGGUGUGCGCCUCUAACACGCCUUGUGAUAUUUAAAUUUAAUGGGUCUAAGGACUGGGUUUUCGGGUCUUAAAUUUUUCAAUUUAUAUUCUAAAAUGUUGAGGGGUUGAAAAAAAAAUUCCCUAAUUUGAACCCUUUCUUCCCCAUUUCUCUUGGUCAUUCUUUCUUCCCCCAAUGGCAACAAGGCAGCAAGUGCUUUUAAGUUGAAAGUUGAAACAUAUAUUUUUUUCUUUUUAGUUUGAGAACAUUUAUGUAUGUGAUUUCUUUGCUUUUUUAUAGUUAUUUUAUUUUUGUUUGGCUAUUUUUGGAAUUUUUAUGUAAUAUAUCAAUUUAAAUUAGACUUGUUAAGAGUGUUUUAUUUUUAUUAAAAGUGUGCAUCACCCUUUUGAGGCACGCGCCGCGGUGUGCCUCACGGCUCCAGAAGGCUUUUGUGCCUUUUCUCACCGCGCGCCUUCUCUUUUUUUUUUUGAGAGAGAAAGGUAGCAUGCUGCCCGCUUCGUUUAUUUCAUUUAGAAAUAAACUUAGCUGGAAAUGUGAAUCAAUUAGGAUUCGAACUUGGGUCUUUGGUACCAACCACCAACCCCUUUUGGCACUUGCGCUAGGGACGGUCAUCCGAGAUGUUUAUUUGGCAACAAUAAACAAAAAACUUGAAAAUAAUUUUUUUCUUUUAAAAUUGUUUUAAACAAGUUGACAUCCAUCACUUAGCCGGAUGCAUUCUAUCCAAGGUUGUAAAUAGCAGAUAGUGGGUACAUAGUGUUUGCAGAAUCUUAUAGUGGAAAGCGGAUAGCGAGCGCCAAAGCGGGCGCUAUGAACCCAUCGCCGGUAGAGAUGUCAACGGGUCGGAUUCGGGGCAGAUUUUUAAAAACACGAACCCGAACCCGACUCCAAACCCGAGACCCGAACCCGAACCCGACGGAUUUUAAAAAUCCAUAUCCAAACCCGAACCCGACCAAAAAUCCAAAACCCGAACCCGAACCCGAACCCGAAAAUUUGAACCCGAAACAAUUAUUUCUUUUANGUAUAGUAAGUGAAUUUUCACCUCCAAAUUUAUAGGCUUAAUUUUGAUGACCAAAAUGGUUUUUUUUGUAGCUGAUUGUUUGCAUGCUUUGAUGAAUAAGAAUUCCUUUCAAGCUCUAUCUAACUUUGAAUGUUUUGAUGGUGGAGCCAAGGCAUAAAAUAUCAUAACCAUCUUCUUGACGGAAUGAUAAUGAAAGUAUAUCAACAUAACCUGUUAGGUAUUUUAAAAUCUUCUUAUCGGAUCAAGGACAUCUGGUAUAAACUAUAAAGUAAGUUUCCAGAAUUGCUUUCCUGUAGGAUUUUUUUUACAUUUACACAACCAGACAUUCUAAUUGUGUUAAUUUGAAAGUCUCUUGGUACUCUGUUGUGCUAGCUGUGAAAACUAAUUAAUUUUGGAGAAUAUUGAGACAGCCUCUAAACUUCUCUCUCAAACACUUUGUCCUUGAACUUUCUUUAUUGCAAUUCCAUUAUUGGCCACUUAAACUUUUCGCUUUAACACUUUGGUGCUUGAACUUCCUCACAUUGCUAUUCCGUUCCGGACAUCAAAAAAUCUGACUUCUCAUGACUUUUCCUUGUAAGAUAACCUUUUAACCUUGUUUCAGGUACUAAAACUGGAAGUUCCUUUACCUGAAAAGCGGAUGUUCAAGGAUGGAACCCCAGUAUAUGAAAAAUUUUAGGAAAUACGAUGUUUAAGUAGAAGUUUAGGGACUAAGUUGUAAUAUCGAGAUAGCCUAGUAAUGCAGUUUAUCCUACUAAUACUAUGGAAUUGGUAUUAUUCUGUUACUCUUUUUCAGGGUCAUGCAAAAUCCGGACAAUCCCAACGGUACGAUCGAUUGAGAACAUGCACUUUAUGUGGGAUGGAACAGCUUGUUUUUGAAACCCCUCCAAGAUUUUGUGCAUUAUGUUCCAAGCAAAUCAACCCUAGAGGACCCUACUAUGAAAACACGGCAAAAGGAGAUUAUCCACUUUCUUUCUGUAGCAAAUGCUUCAAAGUUCCUGGUGAAGUUAUAAAGACUAUUAAUGGAGAUGUUCCGAAGGUUAACUUAGAUGAGAGAUGGUGUUAUGCUGAAACAGAUACUAAAGAUGAACCAGUAAGUGCAUAUCCUGCGUUAUGACAAGGCAAUUUUACUUAUAUAUUCGUGCAGAAUUAUCUGUUUGCACAUAUACUCUUUAAAAAUCUGAAUUUUCAUAUGUACCCUGUUGACAGUGUGAUUUGAGAGAGGGAACUAUACAAUUUAUUUUUCUUCUUCUUCUUUUCUUUCUUUUUUUUUUUUUUAAUGAAAGAAGGGGGCCCUGUGGGCUUUUUUUUGGGUGGGUUGGGGGGGGUGGUGGUGUUGGAGGAGGGCUGGUGGUGUUGGUGCCAAAGGGUUGGUUUAGUUUGGAGGUAUAUUUGUAUGUGCAAUGGUAUAUUCGAGUGACAUAUGUUCUUGAAGGGCUUACGUACGCAUAAAUGUAAAUGAUAAAUGUUGUAGGGGUUAUAUAUGCAAAUAUCACUUUCUUUGUCAUAAUUCAUCUCAUGCCUUUUCUGUGAAUUGGCAGUGGCUCACCUGUGUAAAGUGUAAUAGUUGGGAACAUCAAAUUUGUGCUCUUUUCAAUGGAGAAAUUAAUCAAGGGCUUAAAGUAGAACAUACUUGCCUACACUGCAUAUUAGAGGAGCUAGAAAGCGGAGGCCGUGAACCGUUGCAACCAAGAUUGGUUUUUGAAGCACAAAACUUACCAACAACUAUGCUGAGCGACCACAUUGAGCAAAGGCUUUUCCAUCGUCUUAAUCAAGACAGGAAGAACAGGUCAGAUGCCCUGGGAAAGAAUAUUGAAGAGGUAAACUUUCCUUCUUUCUCUAUGCUGGUUUUAUCAUUCAUGAAGUUGUUUGUUAGUGUGUAAAGCUCAUGCACUUUAUCACAAAUAAGCAAUUUUUCAAGCUUCGUGUGCAUCGCAUUGUAUGUAUUGUCAAGAUUUAAGGAAUAGAAUAGAAAGACGUAUGACACUUAUAAAAUGACUCCUUACAUAUUGUAUGGUUUGGAAACAGUCAUGUCGUGCGUUUCCUUCCUCGUUUCCUCUAUCUUUUUUCCUAUUCUUUUUUCUAUCGUUCCUUCUUGAUGCCCUAAUUUGUCUGCAGUGUGACCAAUGCAUAGCUAUUAGUGGUUGGGACUAUGUCCACUAUAUUUUGGCUAGAUUGAGUUGUGAUCUGAGUUUGGUGUGAUACGGUUUUCUUUUGUUUAGUCUGCGCAUGACAAGUUGGUUUAGGUUGAGUUUGCUUUAAGCAUNCUAAUUUGUCUGCAGUGUGACCAAUGCAUAGCUAUUAGUGGUUGGGACUAUGUCCACUAUAUUUUGGCUAGAUUGAGUUGUGAUCUGAGUUUGGUGUGAUAUGGUUUUCUUUUGUUUAGUCUGCGCAUGACAAGUUGGUUUAGGUUGAGUUUGCUUUAAGCAUGAUAUAAAAACCUAAAAUGUUUCGUUAGACACUUGGUCCUUGGGAUUUGACCCCAAUGUCAUUUUAUCCUUAGAUUUUGAAAUGUAACAAUUUAGUCCCUGAAUUUUGUUUUUGCUUAAUAAUAAAGUCCUUAUGUUAGGCCUUGUUUGGUAUUGUGUUUGUUUUUUAUUUUUUAAAUAGAAUUUUGUAUAUAAAAUGGUGUAAGAAUGGAUAGUGGAUUUGCUUGCAAUUAGUGUUUGAAAAGGCGCACGCCUCAGCACCUAGGUGGGCCUUAGCGUAGCUGAGGCGUAGUGCCCUCUCUGAAGCAUGCGCCUAGGCUUUGAGGUGUGCGCCUCUGAUACGCCUUGUGAUAUUUAAAUUUAAUGGGUCUAAGGUUUGGGCUUUCGGGUCUUGAACUUUUCAACUUAUAUUCUAAAAUGUUAAGGGAUUGAAAAAAAAAUUCCCUAAUUUGAACCCUUUCUUCCUCAUUUCUCUUGGUCAUUCUCUCUUCCCCCAAUGGCAACAAGGCAGCAAGUGCUUUUAAGUUGAAAAUUGUAACAUCUUUUUUUUUUUUCUUUUGAGUUUGGAACAUUUAUGUAUGUGAUUUCUUUGCUUGUUUAUAGUUAUUUUAUUUUUGUUUGGCUUGGAAUUUUUAUGUAAUAUAUCAAUUUAAACUAGACUUGUUAAGAGUGUUUUAUUUUUAUUAAAAGUGUGCAUCACCUUUUUGAGGCACGCGCCGCGGUGUGCCUCACGACUCCAGAAGGCCUUCAUGCCUUUUCUCACCUCGCGACUUCUUAAACAUUGUUUGCAAUCCUUUCAUCCGAGAUGUUUUUUUGGCAACAAUAAACAAAAACUUGAAAAUAAUUUUUUUAUUGUUUUAAACAAGUUGACAUCCAUCACUUAGCCGGAUGCAUUCUAUCGAAGGUUAUAAAUAGCGGAUGGCGGGGACAUAAUGUUUGCAGAGUCUCAUAGCGGAAAGCGGAUAGCAAGCGCCAAAGCGGGCGCUAUGAACCCAUCGCGGGUUUCAUAAAAGCAAAUUUAGUAUGUUUAUGUCUCAUAUAAAAAAUAUAUAUAUAUAAUUUUGAAGAAAAGACAACUAAUCAUACUUUUUUUUAGUAUUGCAAGCCUAUAUAUAUUUAAUCUCAUUAUCUAUUAAGAGUUUAAGAUUAACUUUAAAAUAUUUAGCAAACCAAAAAGACAACACUGGAAAAUCUAUAAUCCAUUAACAAUAUAAUCAUUUUUUUAGCCCGUUUGUACUUUUUAAAGGUUUGGGCUCAUAGCGUACGCUUUCCGAAUGCUUUGUAGCGGCCGUGCCGCUAAAGCGGCCGCUAUGAACCCGAUCCGCUAUAUACUUCUUUACAUAUCAUAGCGUACCGGUAGCAUAUAAAAUCUGCUAUAGCGGCCGCUAUGGCUGGCAUAGCGACCGCUAGUUAAAACACUGAUUCUAACCUAACCAACUAUAGCAACAAAAAAAGUCAUUCUUUCAACAUAUCAAAUUAUAUAGAUUUAGUGUUUUAAAAAAUAUGAAAAGGUGGCAACAAUAACAAACGAGUUAGUCUACUGUUUCAAAAUAAGGCACAUGAGGACCAUCAUUAAGCUUUUCUUUGUUGGGCACGUUGUGCAGAGCGUGCUGACUGUGCUGGUGUAUAAAAGAGUUCGUGUGCCGUAGCAUGCCGGUGUGUCAUGCGUACCAAUGGCACACUGGCAUGCUCUGUGCCAAGGAAUAUAAAUGCCCAUCGGCAUGGGCAGUAUCUACCGUGCCGUAUCGUGCCAACUAGAUGGAGCCAGAUUAAACUUUUAGGGUUUAAAUUUGUAAUCAACCAAUCACAAAAAUUCCACACUCGUAAAGAGUAACUUUUUCCGGGGGAUCCUACCACUACAGGAACAAAGGGUUAAGUUUAUGCAGUCUCAACCCUGCAUGUGGAAAGGUGUUCUUUUCCAAUUUUGAACAAUUUUUGGAUUUGUUCUUGAACGGUAUAAACUUACAAACUAGUAACUUUUAUACAAACUUGUAACCUCUAUACAUUAUACAAACACUGUGUUGUGCUUCCAUUAUAUUAGCUUAAUGGUCUUGAUUGAAUCUUUUCCUUUGCUUAAAUUUCAGGUACCAGGAGCAGAAGGUCUAACAGUGCGAGUUGUUUCAUCAGUCGAGAGGAAAUUGGAUGUGAGGCCACUUUUUCACGACAUCUUUAAAGAAAAAUAUCCGAAAGAAUUCCCUUACAAGUCAAAGGUGUAGUUUUCUCGUUUUAACAUAAUUUUAUGCAGUCGUUUAUUUUUCCCUUUACAUUUUAGUCUUCCAUAUUAAUACUAAGCUAUUCUUUUCUGUUCAGGCCAUUUUGUUGUUUCAGAAGAUUGAUGGUGUUGAUGUUUGCCUUUUUGCAAUGUAUGUCCAAGAGUAUGGUUCAAAAUGUCCUUUUCCAAAUCAAAGACAUGUCUAUCUUUCGUACAUAGAUUCUGUUAAAUACUUCACGCCUGGAAUAAAAGCUGCGAGCGGAGAGGCUCUUCGGACGUUUGUGUAUCAUGAAAUAUUGGUAAAGAUAGUCCUUUAUAUCUUCCUAUUGGUCUUGCCAUUUUUCUUUUUUAUCUAUUACACAAUUAAUAACAAAUUUGAUCCCUGAAGUUUCACUCAAUAUCGUACUGAUUUCCCACAGUCACACUUGAAUCCUUGAAGUUUGUUAUGUGCGACAUUAGUUCAUUCAUUCUAUGCCUGGAAAAAAGUGCCAUUCAUUCCGUGUCUGGAAAAAAGUGCUACGUUAAUACUAUCAUUAGACUUUCCUUUCCAUGGAAUAAAACUCCAAGGAUGAUAUAUAUAGCUGAGGUCAAACCUUAAGGUCAAAUUGAAAGAGAGGCUUAAUGGAGUCAAUUUCUCAGAUCAAAUUGCUGUAAAUUCUUACUUUUGAGGGUGAAACGUGGAUCAAACUUGAUGGACUUAAUUUGUAGUUAGCCCAUUCCAGUUGUCUUUUUUUUUUUUUUGAUAGAGAGAUAAUUGAUUGGUCUCAAUUUAUGCCUAUAAAUAUCUAGAUUGGGUACCUGGACUACUGCAAGAAGCGAGGUUUUGUGAGUUGCUCUAUAUGGGUUUGCCCAUCAGUGAAGCGCGAUGAUUACAUUCUGUACUGUCAUCCGACUAUCCAGAAGAUGCCAAGGGCAGAAAAACUUCGUGAUUGGUAUGUAUUUUUGAGUGAUUUAUUGAACCACCAACCACCAAUCUUUUGCAUAUAUAUACCCCCUGCAAAUUAGUGAAAACUAGUUUAGGGCCCGCGCUUCGCGGCGGAUCAACAUCGAUAAUCUAAAAUCUCAGUUUGAUUUUCGAUUUAAAUUUUAAAUUUAAAUUUAAAUUUUAUAGUAGAAUUUUAAACUAUCAUUCAAAUUUAAAAUUCUAAAUUGAUGAAUUUCAAAUAAACAUCUUUCAGACAUAGAUUUUAAAUAUUAUUUUUAACUUUUAAAUAUCAAAUAUCAAAUUUAAAAUUUUAGGUUUCAAAUAUUAGAUUUUAUAUUUUAAAUUUUAAAAUUCAAAAUUUGAAUAUAGAAUGUAAAAUUUAAAAUUUAGGAACUGAAAUUUAAAGUUAAAAUAUGUAAAAUUGAAAUUUAGUUUUAUUAAUUAAGAUAAAAUAUAAAUUUUUAAAUUUUAAGUUUUAACUUUUAAAUUUCAAAUUUUAAUAUUUUAAAUAUUAAAUUAUAAAUUGAAUUAAAAAUUCAAAUAUUAAAUUUCAAAUAUUAAAAUUUCAUUUCAAAUUUUAAGAUUUAAAUUUUAAACUUCAAAGUUUAUAUUUCAAAUUUAAAUUUAAAUUUUACCUAAUUAAAAUUUUAAAUAUUUAAUUUUAAAUUUAGAUUUGAAAUGUAAAGUUUUUAACUUAAAUUUUAAAAUUUUACCAUUUUGAAUUUACACUGUGAGAUAGAGAAGAGAGAGAGAGGGGGGCCAACUCGAGGGGGGGGGGGGGGAGAGAGAGAGAGAGGGGCCGCUCGAGGGGGAAGAGGUUGACGGAGAGAGAGAGAGACGCGCGCCCGCCUGCCCGCCCGUGCCUCCGCACUGUCCGCCCUGCGCGCCUGCCUGCCCGCGCCCGUGCCACGCGGCGCCUCGCCACGCGCGCCCGCCUGCCCGAGCCCGGUGCUCGCGCUCGUGCUCGCCCGCGUCUCCGCGCUCGCCGCCACCUAUCCCAAAACUGAGGAUUCAUAUAUACUAUAGAUGUGCAAGACCAAAGUAAAGUUAGUGUUUGGGUUCAUACCACUGUAAAUCUUUCUUUUUUGCAUGUGUGCCUCUUUCGAGUAUCUAUACCAGAACAGCACUGCUUGUGCAACCCCUUGCAGGGGCAUGAAUGCAAAAAUAAGUACUGUUUUCAAGGGCAUGAAUGCAGAUACCAACUUUGCAGGUUUAUUUGAAUAACUAGACAGAUUUGUGGGUGGUAUAUAGUCAAUAAACCCAAUGAGAGAACAAAUACCGAGUUUAAUACUUCUUUAUUGGUCUAACUGAGUUCAAAUUAAUUUUUUUGCAGGUACCAUAAACUGAUCAGCAAGGGUACCAUUGAUGAUGUUAUUGUCGAGCACACUAACUUACAUGAUCGUUUUUUCUUAUCCACUGGUGAGCAUAACACAGCUACUGCUGCGAAUUUACCGUAUUGCGAGGGUGAUUACUGGCCAGUUGAAGCAGAAGUGCUCCUUAAGGAUGACUCUGGGAGCACUUCUCAGAAGAAAGGGGCAAAGGCUGCUAAUGAUAGGAUGCUUAGGGCAUACAAACGUGGCUCUGUAGAAAGAGAUCCGAAGGAUAUGUCACUUAUGAACAAGGUUGGUCUAUUAUCGUCCUUUGUUGUUAUUAGAUGAAAAACUAUAUAAUGCACACCUUAACAACUUAAAUGCACAAGUAAAAAUGAUAGUAGAAAUCGUUAGUUCUUUUCUUUUGCAGGUAAUAAGCUAAUAAUAGAUCUAUUAUCGUCUAGUAAUUUUAUUUAUAUUAGAAGCAAAACUGUAUAAUGCACUCCCCAACUACUUAAAAUGCGGCAGUGGAAAUGAUAGUAGAAAUUAUUAUUAUUAUUUUUUGAAUUAUAAUUGAUAUUUGAAUACAAUACAAUUAAGUUAUUGUCGAAGAACUUUGAGAGUAAAGAUGAAAAGAACAAUUUUUAUUGUUUGAGAUUCGACUGUGAAUAAGUUUGAAUAUCUAGAUUUAAUCUUAUAUUAGUAUUAGAUUAAUUGAUGAGAGAAGAUUUGUCAUAUCUAAUUUGCUCAAACAGAAAAUUCUAAUAUUUGAAUAUAAUCCUAUAAUUUGAAUUAGAGAAGAUUUGUAAAAUCCUGUGCAUAUAAAUAGGUGAGAUAAGGUUUUUUGGAUAAAUAAGAACUAUAGUAUAGUUACACGUGAAAAUUUUAUGUAAAAAAUUGUUAGUUCUUUUUAAGGGGGAGGUGAAUUUGUGAUUGUCCUUGAAAUUCCUUAAUAUUAGUUAACAAUCCUGUUCGGAUGUGUUAUGUUGAGUAUUGGGUUGCAUAGCUGAAGGUCUUUCAGAAAGUAAGACAUUUCCAAAUUUCUUAAAUUCGGAUAGCAGUGUUUUAAAAAGCCCAAGGCGCACCAAGGCGCAAAAGGCUGAUAGAGCCUAGGCGCAAGGCGCAAGGCGCAGGCGCGCGCCUGAGAGAGGUGAGGCGCACAAUUAAAACAAAUAAACAUACUUUUUUAAUAAUUAUUAAAGGACAAUGAAUAUUCUUUAAAAAUCAUAUUACACAAUAGAUAUUUUAUGAAUAACCAAAAAAUCAUAUCGUCGGAAAAAAAAAGUGUUUACUGUUUCAGCAAUCAGCAAAGAGUGUUUACUGUUUCAGCAAUCAGCAAAAAGGAAAAAAAUAGAGAAAACAGAGAGAGAGAGAGAGAGAGAGAGAGAGAGAGAGAGUCUUUACUGUUAAAAAAAAGUGUUUACCAAAAGAAAAAAAAGAAAAAACAAGUGUUUACUGUUUACACAAAAAAGAAAUGUCACGCCCCGGGAUCCCUUUUCAAUUUAAAACAGAGCGGAAAAGCGUCUGAAAAUUUUUUUGAAAACCUGACCCCAGAGUAUGCCAAAUCCGCCACAAAUACAGGAAAUCCACUGUUCACACGGACAGAGUCUCCCCUGUAUUUGCACGGCGUCGAUCAAAUACACAGUACAACCAGGAUACAACCACAAUCAGAUGAAUAUAAAGAUAACUAUACAUUCAUACAUUCACCAUUCACAUUACAGUUUUUACAUUCAAGGUUUAAACAGAAAUCCACAAAAAUCUUUUGAAAACCGUUUCCUACACAGAAACUUUAUUCUUUUAAAAACGCUACCACGAGGGGUAGAAAACCUUUUAUUUUACAAAAUCCAGAAAUCCACAUUUUCGAAUGUAAAUAAAUACUGAACCACNGCGCGCCUUUUAAAUCACUGUCGGAUAGUUUUGAUUAUUUCAGUGUGUAUUUAUAUUGUGUAGUCAUUUCUUUUGUAUAAAUAUUUUCUGCAUCAUCUUUCUGUAUAUCACUUUAAAACCUAUACUUUCUUAAAAAUUUAUUAGCUUUUAUCUAUUUUUUUUCUCCUAUCUAUCUCCCAUAAAUAAACUUUUUCACGUUGUGGCCGCCUGUCUAUAUUAUUCACUCAAGCAGUGGAGAGUAUACAAAGGCUUUGGCAUAUUUUAUUUCGGCAGUAGAACGAAACCUCUUUUGACCAGAGCUUUAAAGGAUUAAGGCCUCGAUUGUGAUUACGUGCACGCUAUCUACAGUAUAGAGAGAAGGGAGUUAAAAAGAAAAGAAAGGAUUGUCAAUUGUAAUUUAAAUUUUAUUAGUUGAGAAUGCAAUGUUAUCAAUUGUUUUUGUCUCUAUUCUGUCCACAGUAUUCUCUGAAACUUAUUGCCUCAGUGAUGUCAGCUUGACUAAUUUUUCAUCUUUAAAUUCUUUUGAUUCAACAGCUUGGUGACAAAAUCCGCCCAAAGAAGGAAGAAUUCAUUAUGAUUUAUUUGCAGUAUACUUGCAAGCACUGCCGUCUUCCUAUCAUGUCUGCAGAAAAAUGGAAGUGCACAACAUGUAAAAUGUUUAUGCUUUGCAACCAGUAAGUUACUGACACUUAAUCUCCCAUGUUUUUGUUUUGAUUUGAUUUGAUUUGAUUUGAUUUGAUUUUUGUAUACUAUAUGUCUGAGUAGAUUUACUCAAUCAGUAGGCUCCGAUUCAUAUUUUUUAUGGCUUUGCAUUCUUGACCAUUUGUGUAGAGAUAUCUACCUAUGUAGGCCUGUAAAAUUAUCUGCUUACAUAUACCACCGUUCCAAUUCUGAACUUUCAUACAUGCCCCUCAGAAUCUCAAGUCUUAGAUACCUUUGUACUUACAGAGAAGCACCUAAUUCGGAAUUUUUUUCUAUAUUAAAACAACUUCACCCUAUUAAUUGAAUGGCUCUUAUGUAUGAAGCUCCUUCAGAUUUACUGGGGUACAUGUAUAAAUUAGAAGAUUUUACCAGGAUGUGCAUGUGAAAUUGUUGAAACUCCUGCCAUGCAAAACAGGCCAUUUAGGAUGACUAUGUAUCAGGGAAGUUAUCAUUUAUUAUUAUUUUUUUGGUUGUAGUUAAUUUUGGUCUUUGUAUUGCAGGUGUUAUACUAUGGAACAGCAGCGGGAACACAAUGACAAGCACCCUAGUAUUUUGAAAGAAAAGCACUCCUUCCGAUUAGUGAGUGUCAGAGCUUCGUGCUUCUAUAUGUUUGUCUUCUAGUGUAAAUUUUCUUUAUCUUAUUAUUAUUAUUAUUUUCAGAUUCAGCAAAAUGCUCUUCCAGAUACCGAUGAUGGAGAUGAAACAUUACGAAGUGAAUUUUUUGACACCAGAACUGUGUUUCUGAAUCUUUGCCAAAACAGGCAAUACCAGUUCGGUACCCUUCGUAGGGCAAAACAUUCAACAAUGAUGCUCCUUUAUCAUCUGAGUAAUUCACUAGUCGGUAAUGCAGGGAACCUGGGAGAACAAUCUGUGCAGGUGUCACAUUAAUUUUGUUUUGAGUCUUUAGCAUAAUAUACGUGCAAAUCAUCUAUUUACGUAGAUACGUCUGUGAAUGUCUGUGAAACUCAGAAAAUUUUUAUACGCCCCUCCAAAGUGCGAUGUGUUGCAAAAAUACCUGUAAGAGAGCAUCCAGUUUAUGGUUUUUGCGCUAGAAAGUCUUUAUAAAAAAGGGGCAUUUCUGUAGAAGAAAAUUUUGCAGGCAAUACAUAUGCAAAUAUUUCUUAUUUUUUGUUAGGGACCACUUAAAGCUGUAUUUAUUGAUCUUUUAGUUACCUUCUUUCAUUUCUGGAUUGCGAUUUUCCUUUCUCACUAUUUGCAGGAAGGAGCUGCUCAUAUUGAUCAUGGAGUGGUUGAUAAUGCCACCAAAGCGGAUAAUCCUAUGCUACCUAAUAAAGGGAAUCAACACAAGCAAACUAUAGAGGUAUAUUAAUACAAAUUAUGUAUUGCAUGUAGAUGCCUGUAAAAUUUGACAUACUCCUUGAGAGUGCAGUUUUGUACAAAAAUAUCCUCAGGUUAGGGAGUCGUCCAUUUAAUGGGGAGAAGAUGGUUUUUUAUUGGAAUUAGUUUUUUAAUGAGGGCCAGCAAAUACAAUGGUAUUUUCUGGAAUUAGUUUUUGUAUUGGAAUACAAGGGCUAGCAAAGAGGGCAUUGUUAAAGAGGGCCAGCAAAUAGAAGGGUUUUUGUAUUGGAAUUAGUUUUUUAAAGAGGGCCAGCAAAAAUGUAGGAAGCUAAGUUUCUAAAGGGCGUACAUGAAGAUUCAGAUGGUGGUGACAAACAUGAAAAAAUAAUUUUGCAGGGUUAUAUAUGUAAACAUCAUAAUUUUGCAGGGUUAUAUAUGUAAACAUCUUAGUUUAGUUAAAUAUAAUCCCAUGCUAAAUUUGUUUAUCUAUUUUCUUCUUUCUUUAUUGUGAUUUGUGUUUCUCACUAUUAACAGGAAGGAACUACACAUCAUGAUAAUGAUAUUGCCUGUAAUGCUACCAUGCCUGAUAAUUCUGUGCUGGCUAACAAAGAGAAUCCAAGAAAACAAACUAUGGAGGUACUUUCUGCAAUUUUUAUUUCUUUAUAUACAUAUAUGUAUAUAUGUAUAUAUAUAUAUAUGUAUAUAUAUAUGUAUAUAUAUAUAUAUGUAUAUAUAUAUAUAUAUGUAUAUAUAUAUAUAUAUGUAUAUAUAUAUAUAUAGAACUAGGCUACUAUGCUAUUAAUAGCACCAAGUCAUUGGUGCUACCAAGUUUUUGGUCAUUGGAUUAAGAGAUGUACGGUUAUGAUGAUGUGGGCCCCCUAGGGUUGAGUGGGUGGUUGGUUGAAUAGUAUAAUCUAACGGGUGAAAAUGAUCGAAAGGGUAGAUCUAACGGCGGAAAACUUGGUAGCACCAAGUGCUUCGUGCUAUUAAUAGCAUAGUAGCCGGACUCUCUCUCUCUCUCUCUCUCUCUAUAUAUAUAUAUAUAUUUGUGGUAAACUGAAUUCUUUUAUGCCAUUUACAACUAAUUUUGUUAAUAUAUGCUGCGAUUUUCUUUUUUUAGCUAAGUAUUUAAGGUUGUCCUUAAUGUCAUUAAUCAACCACAGGAUCUCUUUAUAUGAUAUCUGUUCCAUACAUUAAAGGGAUCAUUUGUAGACUGAUAGGAAGUCCAAUGGUUUUUCACAGUAAAGCUUUUUGUUUGGAUAUCUCGUUACUAACCAUUGGUACCAAACAGCUUGAUUAAAAUAUAUUCACCAGUUUGUUGAUGACAAAAGGAUGUGAUCUACAACUGCUUAUUUACCUCCAAUUUGAUGCUUUACAUAUUUUAAAAUUGAACACCACUAUCCAAUCUUAUCAGCGACCUGGUAGUUUUUUGCUUCGAAAGUUUGCUCUCCUCUGGCUUUUGAUCCUACUAAAAGCUUCUUGCUACAGCAUAAACCAUGCUUUUAGGGACUAGAAGCUAAUAGAUUCCCGGCAGUUCUGAAGUUGCUAUAGAUUUUUAUUUAUUUUUGGCUUGUGCUUCACAAGAAGAGAAUCCCUAAGCAUCAUGGAAGGAAACAUUUCCCUUUCUAACUACACGUGCUGUAACUGAUUUAGGAUGCGCUUGAUGCUCUGGUGCAUGCAUCACGAUGCAAAGCUCCUCAUUGCAUGCUGUUGUUGUGCAACAAAGUGAAAAGACUUUUCCAUCAUGGAAGCCGUUGCAGUGUUCAUUUUAAUGGAGGGUGUGAUCUGUGUGGGAAGAUGUGGUCUCUUAUCCUACGCCAUGCCUUUUUUUGUGUGGAGUCUGACUGCUGUGUGCCUCGUUGCCAGUAUGUACUCUCUCUCUCUCUCUCUCUUGCCUGUGUGCCAAUACGUGCUCUCUCUCUCUCUCUCUCUCUCACACACACAAAUAUAACUGAUUGAUGAUUUUAUGUGCUGUAGGGAUGUUAAGGAUCGCCUGAGGAACCAAACAACUCAGAGCGGAGCAGUGAGGUUUUCUAGGUUUAGGGACUCAGACAGUUUUGCAGUGUUCUAACAGUUCUCCAGAACAAUUAAUAUUACUCUUAACUUAAUCAUUUAGAGUGUUAUUCUUUUGGUAGUGUUUCUACAAACCAUUACAUUUCGUUGGCUUGUGAGAAAAGAUUAAGCCCCCUACUAAUUCCAAAGAGAAGGGGGAAUAUAGAGCAUGUGGGGGUUGUGGCAGAGAAGGAAGGAGACGAGUUUAGGGAUGAGAUGCUAAGGCUAAUUUAGGGAGUUUGGUAGACAAAAAUAUAUACAAGAAUAUCUGUAGAUGAAAGUUCCAAUAGGGUGUACAGUUCAUUUAUUGCAUUCUUUUUGUAUGACCAAUAAACAUCUAGUACUGUAAAUAAUUUUUCUUGUCAAUAAAACCAUCAUUAACUCUUUCUGCAAUUUUGGUGCAGUGAAUUGUUGUGCUUGUGUGCAUGUUUAGGCAUUGGAUUCCUUUUGAAGUUUGUGUAUUUAUAAUCAAAUAUGAGAUCACUCUAAUUUAGCAUUCAUUUGAAGUUGUGUACUCAGUUAUAACCUAAUAUGGUUGUAUAUAUGGAUAAUUUUUAUUAUUUUAUAUUAUAUACUAUUUUUAUAUAGUAAUUGCUUGAGGGUGAAAAGCAGUUCAGUGCGCAAAAAUGACUUGUUAUUCGUUUGCUGCUUGGGUUCAUAGUUAAGAAUUUCCUUUUAAUUUUCUUGCUAAAUUAAUAUUUUCUUCACCUUCCCUUCUCAUUUUGCUGUUAUUAUUAUUUGGAGACCUGUGAAUGUCUUCAAAUUUUCUUUAAUUUUUUUACCCCUUAUAUAUUAGUUAAGGGUGGGCAUGGUUUUGUUUGGUUGGGUUACAAGAAAUAUUGGAAUCGAGCUGAUCGAAGUCGGUGUAAGAAAAUUAAAACCAAAACUGAAUCUAGUGUCAAAAGACAAACCAAAUCAAAUAAAAAUUUUGGUUUGGUUUAUCAGUUGGAACAUCAGAAUUUUUUAAUAAUAGUCUGCAUACUUUAUCAGCUAUUUCUUUUUUAAAUAUUUAAUUUAUCUAGUUCAUUUUUGGUAUUAACUUGGUGUAUUAACUGGUACAUUUUGAUGUAUUCAUAUACGUAGUUGUACAUACAUAAGUAUUUUUAGCCUACUAACCUUAUUCAAAAGGUUUAUUUUAAAAUUAGACAUUUGAAACUUAUAUUUGCAAAAAUAGGCUUGGAGAUGACACGUGGGCGUUGUAUUGGGCAAAACACAUAUAGGCGGUGAAUUAUUCGUCUCUUUCAGAUGAAAGCACUGAAAUGGUUUACCGCCUUCAGAAAAAUUUAAAAAUUCUAGAAAGGCAGUGAGUCAUUCACCGCCUUCAUGUAAGUGGUGAAUGGUUCACCGUCUUUAGGUCUAAAUAGGCUCCACGCAUUUGAUAUACAUCAAGGUGUCUGGACUACAUUAAAUGCUUUUUAGGUUUAAAUAGGCACCAUGCAUUUGGUAUACGUUAAGGUGUCUGGACUACAUUAAAUGCCAACCAUUCAGCGCAUUUCAAAGCGGCAAAUUAUUGAGUCACGGUGAAUUAUUUGCCGCGUUUAGUUAUUUACUAUGCCACACUAGCAUCAAGUUGCCAAAUUUUUUACAUUUUACAAAAUAAUAACUUGUCAAGCAUUUCAAUCAUAAUAGUAAGUACAUAAAUUCAACUAUACCAACCUCAACCACACUUUAAACACAUAGAGUGGACUAUGCCAAUGCCAACACACUUUAACAUAAAUAAAUUUAGAUAAUACUAUAACAAAUUCAUGUAUAAAAGAUCAGAUACAUCAAAUAUAUAUGAGAAUCUAAAAAAUUCUAUGAAAAUCAAGUCCUCUCCAUGCCACGCACUCACCCUUGCCUUUGUCCCUUGCCAUGUCCACGUCCACGUUCGUGUCCUCGCCCUUGUCCUCGAAUAUGCACAUCAUGCUCCGUCUUAGAAUAUACGGGCUCAAUGCCAUGCAUCUGAUCAAUAUGCUAGAUGGCUGUGCCAUCGACAAUCGGCUCUGUCCCUUGCGCAUCAACGACUGAUAGUAGUAUUCCUUCCUGCAUCUCAACUCUAGGCUUGGUAGCAAUAUGAUCCUGCCGCCGUUGCCUAUGUCAAUAUAUAAUAUUAUCCUAACGAACCUCCGAUGUGGAUGGAAUAUCGGAUAGAGGGAUAUGCGCGAAUGGAAUAUCAAAAUGGGGUACUUCUGAUGUAGAUGAAAUAUCAAAUGGAGGGAUAGAUGUCGACGCCUGAGGAAUGAUGCCGACGGGAUAUCAAACUAGACUUCGAUGUCGAGGGGACAUUUGAUGGAUGAAUUGGGCUGGACAUCAAUGGAAAAUCAUAUACAGGCAUGAAUGUGGAAGGAAUAUCACUGUGAUCAUCAAAAAUUAGAGAAGGAAUAUCUGGAUGCCCCGUCACUUGUAAUAUCAGAAGUCUAUUUAACGCACUCUUGAGGUCCUACCUCACAUGUGCUAGACCCUCCAUCAUUUUAGACAGCUUCGGAGGAUCAUCUAUCAAAAUGUCCAAUACUCCUAAUAGCAUGCCGCAUAGCAUCCACCUCUAUAAAAAUAUAUGUUUAUAUAUAGUGAAUACAUUUAUAUUCAAAUAAACGAUAACUAAAAUUAUCUUAUCAAUGCUCUCUCGAUUUGCCCGCAUGGCAGAAAAGAGAGUGGAGGUCGCUGUACUGUCACGCCUCGGGGUCCCUUUGGUUUUAAAACCAAUGCGGAAGUGCCAUUUUUUUUUUUUUUUUUGAAACUUUUACCCCAGGGUAUGCCAGAUUAGCCACAAAUACAGAGAGUCCAUUGUUCACACGGACAGAGUCUCCUCUGUAUUUGCAUGGCGUCGCACAAGUACAAUAUACAACCACAACCGUAUGAGCAUACACAUACAUUAACCAUUCACAUUUACAUUCAUUUCAUUACAAAUAUCCAUAAAUCCACAUCUAUCAGUUUAAAAUGUUUUUCACUCGAAAACUCAUUUUGAAGCACUAAGAGUCAUGAAAACCAAUAAAACCUUUUCAAAACCGUUUCCCACACGGAAAUCCUUUUUUUUUAAAACACGCUACCACGAGGGGUAGAAAAUCGUUUUCAUCUCAAAGAAAAUCAUAAGUUCUUUAAUUCAUUCACCAAAAUCACAUUUAUCCAAGUAAACAAAAACCAACUGAACCAAUAUGUCUAAGUUAGUAUUCAGAAAUAGUAAAGGUAGGGACUAAACCGAUGGACCGGGUUGAAAGCUCUACGACCACUAAUCACGCGCCUCACGUAUCGUCCCGACUCGGACCAGCAAUGUCACCUGAAAGGGGGGUGGGGGGGUGAGAACAUAUACACAUGUCUCCCCUCCCAGUGGGUACCGCAAGCCGACGAAGGCGAGGAGUACUCACCAGUACAGGAAGAGAUAAACAAAGUCAUGGGCAUAUAGAACAAAUACAGUAGUAAUAAACUGAAAGGAAGGAGAACAAUAAUGGAACAUAUAACUACCGCUACUGUAAAGUAAAAUCGAAUGCAUACAUGGAUAUCAAAACUAUAGUAGCAAGACAAGUGCAAAGAAAAGACUGUAAGUAUGCAUGCAACAACCGCUACUAUAAUCAUAUGCGUCAACCAGAUGAGUAGUCCAAAUAUACCCAAUCUAAACCACCGUGUCGGUCUAAGGACCUCAGACAAAAGCCACUACCUGCUCACACCUGGUAUGUAACCCUAGCACAAAGAGAAUACCGCUGGGCUCAUGGGUCGGAUGUACGACCAUUUUUUCGAAAAAGAACAUCCUCUUGUGGUGGAUCAACCCGCUAGUGUACGUGAAAUGCACUCGAGCUGUGGCGAUCAAUGCGGAUAUGAUGUUAGGUCCUAUGUGUUGGCAAGUUUCGUGGGUCGAGUCGGAGUCUUGAAGAAGUUCGGAGCGGAGUAUUGAAGAUCGAAGAAUCCAAGACUUCGAAGAAUCAGAAAGGACGCAAAACACGUAAAACAUGAAUCACGAUGCGUAGGUAAGCUUUAAAUCUUGUUUAUGGUGAUUCAUACUUAAUUAUAGAUCUUAGAAUCAUGUUUUCAAGUUGUAAUUGAUUAGAAAGUUUCUAAGAGUUUGUAAAAUCCAAAACAAUGCAUUUUCAGCGAAAAUUGCAUUGUUGUACCGGUACAAGGCUUUUCUGUCCAGGGUACAGCCAUCAACGUUGCGCAGUGAAGUUUGAUGGUUGUUCCGGUACAAGCUUCAUGCUGUACCGGUACAAGCCCUGUUCCGGAACAAGCUGAAGCUAUCCAGGGUACAGGAGCUUCGCAGAAAAAUCUUCCGUCAUGGUGUACCCUGGACAACAUUCCUUGUUCCGGUACAAGGUGCUGUUUUUGGAAAGAAACUUUCUAAUUCGACUCCAAUUGAUUCUAAAGUCUAUAAAUAAGCUAUUGGGCUUCUCUAACACAUCAAGCAUCAUAAGAAUACAUGUUUGAGAAACCCUAGAGGCUCGGAUUUCAUCUUAAACCUAUUUUCUACAAAAAGCCUCUUUUAGAUCAAAUCGAGAUAUUGAAAUUUGAUAUUAAUAUGUCGAUUUGAUCUCCGCUUCGCUUGGAGUUCUAUUCCCUGGUUUUCUACGAUACUCCUAAGCGAAGGAUCACCAUACACAUGAUGCUCUUCAUGAACGGCGUCGUGGAUUCGGCGUGAACGAAGACGGUUCGUGGAUUCGGAUCGUGAGCUCGUGGAUUCGAGUGGGCGUCGUGGAUUCGACGUGAUCGAGGCUUCGUGGAUUCGAAGUGGUGACGUUUCGUGGAUUCGGGACGUGGCGUUCGUGGAUUCGGACGUGGGGCGUGGACAACCCGUUGGUGUGCGCGAGAUCCGGAGAAGAUAGAAGAGAGGUUUGAGUCCGUGGAUUCGGUAAAUCACCUUGUAAUCUUUUAUUCUUAGUGGAUUGUUAUCGCGUGUUGGUCCCGUGGGUUUUUUACUCCGAGUUUGGAGUUUUCCCACGUAAAUCUCGGUGUGCUUUUUAUUUUCCGCAUUUAUUUUUAUUGCAUCGAGAUUUGUGGUUUUUUGGCCUUUCACCUAUUCACCCCCCUCUAGGUGAUAGAUACAAUCUAGAUAGAUCCUUGGGCUCCUCAAAACUUUCAUAUGAUGAUAGCCAACCGUCGGCUAAUAGCCAACAAUCACCGUCCCUCAGGGCACACCGACCAAUAGGUCAUCGAAUCGUAAGGAAACAUAAGUACCGACCACUCAGGUCAACUAGAAUGUGUUAAGGAUUUUAUAGGUUGACGAAUUUCGUAAAGUUGAUUGGAGUCUUGAAAAGUUGAUCGCAGAAGUUUUGAAGCAAAGAUUCAAAUUGAAGAACAAAGAUUCAUUCGUAAAGUUCGGCACCUAAGGUAUGGAGAAAAGAUCAUUUGUGGUGAAGAUACUUAAUUCGAAUAAGUUCAGAAGGCUUAGAUUGCUUUAAAACUAUUUUACUGAACUUUUUUGUGUUCUGGGACCGGUCCCUGAGGUGAAGAGACUGGUUCCCCUAAGGUCCUCUCUGCGUGAGUUUUAAUGCAACCGGUCCCCUGAGAUGAGAGACCGGUUCCCGAACCUUGGUAAUUCUGUCGUGCAGUGAGGGACCGGUCUCAAGCUUGAGAAACCGGUUCCCGAACGUUGUGUUUUUGGUCACGCAGCGAGGGACCGGUUCCUCACUUGAGAGACCGGUCUCUCACAGACCGGUCUCCUCGAGAGGACCGGUCCCUGAGAACGACACAGGUUUUUAAAAAAGGACUUUUUGCAAUCCUAGUCUACUUCUAAAUCUUCUAAACAUAUAAAUAAGCCAUGGGGGUCAUCUAAAAAGGUGAGGCUUUGAAUUUCUACUUAUUCUAAACCCUAGAAACUUGUUUUUGUCAUUCUUAUGGCUUGAUUCUUAUAACAAGUUUCUAACAAUCAACAAUCGACUUGAUUCUUCGUUUUUACUCGAGAACUCAUACGAGAAUCAAGUAGAUGUUUGAUUAAAAGGUAGACCCUCAGUGUUUAUGGGAUUCUAAAGCUUAAUCACCACAAAUCUUCGUUUCAACAAGCUCCGGAAGGAGAUUCGGCGCGUGGAGCUCGCGUGUAGCCGAGGAUUCGGUGGACGCUUCGUGGAGUUGAGGCGUUGAUACUACGAGGAGUUGCAGCGAGAUCGAUUGGAGGAUUCCCAUCGAUUGAGGACAGGUGAAGAUCACUAUCUAUGGGAAAUCGGUAAAUUGAGUAUUUUUGUCANUAUUGGAGGUAGAUUCAAGGUGUUGUUGAUUCUCAACCGAGAGUGUUCAUGUUGGGUGCACACAACAUGAAGCCGAGUGAUGAGAAUAGACGCCCUUGCGUGACUUUCGCCCGAUUGGCUUUUGAGCCGGUGUUAAUGGUCUCGUGUUCGACUCAAGUUGGUCGAGAACUAAUCAAGUUGUCGUGUUUCAGGAAACGAUGGCACCGCGUAGGCGAUCUUCACCCAGAUCGGCGCAGGAGGGGACCAGCGGUGUCCUUGAGCAGACCGACUCAAGCGGAGACUCGGAGCUUCGUGAUCAGUUGGCCACACUCAUAGGAGUGAUGAGGCAACAGGCUGAUGUGGUGCAGCGUCAGCAGGAGGUUGCUAUGCGCCAGGAGGGACAAAUGAGAAGACUCCAGGAAAUAGUGGAUCGGCUGGUGGCUGCACCAGCUGCGGCUCGUCGAGGAUGGCCGGGAGUCGCGACAGAGGUAUUUCCGCUGGGGUCGGGUGAUCCGACUCCUGUUGGUUCCGAGUUGGAGGCGGAAAGAGAGCGAGCUUUGGCGGCCUUCAUGGCUUUCAAGAAGUUUGAUCCGCCUACCUUCGAUGGUGAGGACACAGAUCCGUAGAUCGUGGAGAUGUGGAUUGAUUCCAUGGAAACGCUAUUCGAGGAUCUGUACACGCUGGAGCGAGACAAGGUAAACCUAGCCGCGCAUUAUCUCAAACAGUCGGCGAAGGUGUGGUGGAAAGGCGUUAAGCGAGAUCGAGCGCCUAGUCUCCCUCCUAUGACUUGGGAAGAGUUUCGGGGAUUGGUGUUCUCAUCCUAUUUCCCCGACAGUGAAAAGCGAAAGCUUAAGGAAAGAUUCCAAAAUUUGCGGCAAGGAGAUCGCUCAGUUAGGCAAUACGAGCGGGGGUUUUUUCGUAUCGUGCAUUGUAUCCCGAACAUAGUACGGGAUGACAGGGAGAAGGCUGACUGCUUUGUGCGUGGACUGCGGCCAGGCCUUUACAAGGCUGUGCUUGUACACAGGUUGCAGACUUUUGCUGAAGUCCUGGAUCGGGCCUUGUGGAUAGAACAAGGCGAGGCAUCUCUGCGGGAGGAGCACGAGGCAUAUUACAAGGAAAAGGAAAAGGACGGCCAGUGAGCGGACACGAUGGUCAGUCUAGUUCCCAACGGACUUCGACGAGUUCGCACUCGUGAUCCCGAGCUCCGGGGACAUACCGCAUUCGGUCCUCGGCGAAAUGUGCUAUUUGUGGAGGCCCUCAUUUCCCACAACAGUGUGAGCAGCGUGAAGGCAAGUGCUUCAAGUGUGGGCUGCCGUGCCAUAUGCGGGACGAGUGUCCGCGUGGUGACGGAUGGGCCUUGGCACUGGCGACGGCCCAUUCCUCUCUGGGACAACCUGCAGGUGCGCCACCUGCGGCAUGGUCGGGAGAUUGGCCGUUGAGGACGAUGCAACCAGAGGGUUCGCGACGAGCGCCAGGUGGGCAUGGAUGAGCGACCCGAGUUGCGGAGCCUGCCGUUGCUGACGUCAUCGUGGCAGGUAUGAGUUAAUUGAGCAAGCAUGUGCUUUUACUAAUCUCAAGUUGGUGCAUAAGAUGCAUUUGUUGUUGGUCGGUUGCUACUAAUUAUAUAUUGCAUAGUAGGGACCGAAUGGUCGGGUAAGUAGAUGCCCGUACAUGCUUGCAUUGUGAGAAGUGGCACCUGCUGGUGCGAGUAGAAAGCCAAGUGGUGCUAGCUAAUGGCUAGUGAUGAUUCUCCGGUAAGGAGUGAGAUUCGUGGAGAACAUGGUCUAGUAAGUGACUCUCGAAAUAAUGGAUUGAAAAAUUGUGAAAGUUGAGCCUUGAUGUUGAGGAUACCCGAAAGACUCGGGAUUUGAGAAUGUGUUCCGAUAGAUCGGACAAUGAAAGUAAAAUCACUGUGGUGAGAGUAGCCGUGUAGUUGACGAACGCGGGCCCGUUGGCCUAGAAAUACCUCGAAGUUGAGGUGGACAAGUUGUGCUCGUGUAAUGGACGUGCAUAGGCAAGCUGCCUGAUACUGGAUUUCUUGUUAGACGCUGUAGAGGCGUAGAGCGCUCGAGUAUAGUUACUCAUGAGGUACGGUUUUGAUUCAGCCGGUUGAGUGAGUUGGCAGUAGCACUUUAGCAGGGCUAAGUGUGAAGCGGGCCAUGGAUCACUCGUGGGGCUAGUGGCUUGCACAAGGUGCUUAAGAGCCGAUAGUGGUACUUGUAGCUCUGUAGAGCAUGUCGUGUAGGACGACAUUGGCGGGUAGUGCUUGGGGACGACCCGUGCCUGGACCACUUGUGGACUGUGGAGCCUCGACCCAUUCGGCAGGCGCAGUCAGCUGUGAGAGACAGCGGCCCGGUANUUUGUUUUAUUUGCAUCGAGAUUUUUGAGUUUGCCGUUUUUACACCUAUUCACCCCCCUCUAGGUGUUACUUACCUUUUAGAUCCUCGGGAUCCAUAUCUUACAAGUGGUAUCAGAGCGGGUAUAGGUUGUAAUUCAUGGCCGAAGGCGGUAACAUUAAUCGACCCCCUCUUUUCGAUGGCACUAAUUAUGCUUAUUGGAAAGUCUGUAUGAGGGCGUUUCUUAUUGCCAUCGACGAGCGGGUAUGGCAAGCCAUUGAAUUCGGGUGGAAACAUCCUACCGAAGUUGUCGAGAAUGUUACCGGUCUGAAACCUAGAAAUAAGUGGACGAAAGAGGAAAACGAAUUAUCUUCGUACAACGGGAAGGGUAUCAAUGCUUAUUUAAUGCUUUAAAUCAAACUGAAUUUUCUCGUGUCUCGGCGUGUGAAACCGCUAAAUAAAUUUGGGACACUUUACAAGUUACACACGAGGGUACAAGCUUGGUUAAGAUUCAAAAAUUGCAAAUGCUUACUAGUAGAUUUGAUUCCAUUCGUAUGGAAGAACAUGAAUCUUUUACCGAGUAUUAUACUCGUUUGCAAGACAUUGUGAACACGUGUGCUAACUUGUGCGAGAAAAUUCCCGAUUCCAAAAUUGUUCGAAAAAUUUUGAGGACCCUUCCCGAACGAUUCCGUCCUAAGGUUGCGGCUAUUGAAACGGUUAAACAUCCUGAUGAACUUAAGGUAGAAGAAUUAGUAGGUGCACUUCAAACUUAUGAGAUGACUUUUUGUAACCCCCAAGAUCUCGGUGAAAUAUUGUGAACUUUAGCCAAAUUGACUAAAGUACUCGAAGGGAUUAGUUGGACGCGAUCCAUUAAUGUUCCAACACUGUUGGAAGGGUUAAAAAUAAGCUCCAAAGGAGUUGGAAGGGGUUUUGAUAUCGAUCGGUGCGAAAUCGAAUCGAAACGGAUCGAAAAACAGUAUCCUGCAGGUGCUGUACCGGUACAAGAGUGGUGGUUGUAUCGGUACAGCCAUUGCGGAACAGUGCUUACGACGCUGUACCGGUACAAGGUGCCUUGUACCGGUACAAACACGACGAAACCGAGAGAAUCAGCUCUCGGGUUUGCGCUCUGUUGGGCUGUCUGCCGGGCCUUGUACCGGUACAAGACCCCGUGUACCGGUACAAGCGACCCGAAGCAGCAGGUCUGCUUUGGAAAAACAGAAAAUGGAGGGGGCUUUCAGGAUUUUGUUACAUUAGAGGGUUAACACACCCCUCUCAGCCAUUUUCUCUCCCAUUUCACUGUCUCUCUCUCCCUCUCUUACAUCCCUCUCUCUCUCUAAUCGUGCAAGGAGAAGAGAAGAAGAAAAGAGAAAGAGAAGAAGAAAAAGAGAAGAAGAAGUUGGGGAAGAUGGAGAAGAAGAUCUAGAAGGAGAUCUUCAUCCUCUCCUUCCUCUUUCUUGAGCUUUGGAGCAAGCUUUUAGAGGUAAGCUCUAACCCUAAAAAUGGUAUUUCUAGGGUUUAGGGUUUUUUGGUUGUUUUUGGAUGGUUCAAGUGGAACCCAUUGGAGUUGGAGAUGAUGGUUCUAGCUCCCAUUGAAGUUUUGAACCAUGGAUUGCACCAUUGAUGCAAACCUAGGGUUGGAGUUUGGGUUUUGAACCCUAGAUCUUGAUUUUGAUAUCCCUACAAGUUUUAGAACCUUGUAGAAACCAAGAACACAUGAAAUCCAUGUUGUUCUUCGUAGUGCUCUAAUGGUGGAAUCCUAGGGUUUGUUUUAAAUGCCCUAGGGAUGAUUCUAAUGAGAUAGAAACAAGUUUAGAGAACUUCUUGGGUGAUUCUAAGCUCGAUUAUGCUUAGCUAUGAGAUCAAUCCCAAGAGAUUUGAUCUUGGUGUUGUUAGGGCACCAAAAUUAGGGUUUUUGCCACCGGUUGUUUCUAAGGCAAAUUGACCUUAUAGAAACCUAAUUGGGGACCUAACGAACGCGUUGAAACGCUCGGUUCGGCAAUCCGACGAGCGUACGCGAAGUUAUUGACGAAACGGUCGGUUUUGGUACAGAUAGCCGCAGCACGCGGAAUAAAGGUCUAAAAAUCAUGAGAUCGGAACCGGAGCACCUUGGAGUCAAGGAAUAAACUCCGGAAAAGACGGAUCGCGGUUUGGAGGUCAUUUGCUAAGUCGCGCAAGAGUUCGGGCCAAACCGGGCAACGGUUGCCGUGGGAGGCUGAUUGCAAGUGACUACAAGCAAUCGGAGCGCGAGUUAAGGUGGGUUGGUUUACCGAAGCGACUAGGUCGCCUUUAUGUCUAAGAAACUAAGAAUCCAUAUUGAUGCAUGUAAAUGCUAAAUAGAAUGCAUUAUGAGCAAGUUGAAUAAAGCUAGAUAAUUAUGUGAUUGCAUGUAAGCGUAAUGCAUAGAAUGAAAUGCAUAUUGAUGACAUAAGUUAAGAUGAGAUAUAAAAUGCAUGAUGGAUAAGUUAUAUAAUGCUGCAUAAUGGAUAGAAUGCAUGUUGACAUUGUGAGAUUAAAUGUGCAUGAAAACUAGGUUGAUAACCCUAGAACGAUUAAAGCAAAUGAUGCUAUGCUAAAGUAUAAAUGAUAAGCAUGAUAUAAGAAUGGUAAAUGCAAGUGCAUGUUAAGAAUGCUAAGGAACAUAUAUAGGUGGACAUGAAUAAACUUAUAGAUCGAGUGGCAUAUAACCUAGAGUUUUGAACGUAGGUUAAAUAAGAAUGAUGUUAAACCUAAUGUAAAGAACAUAGGUCGUGAAAUGAAAGGUGCUUAACCUAGAGUCAAGUGAACCUAGAUUAGAAAGAAUAAUGAUCCUAGUGUAAUAAACCUAGGUUGAGAAUGUGAAAGCAAUAAACCUAAUGGGUUAAUUUAGGUUGAGUAAAGGCUUAGACCUAGAGAGGUCAGUUCCAUAGGGUUAAGACCAACCCUUGGUAAAUGUGAUAUGGAUUCCGGAAUCCCAAAGCUUGAUGAUACACCCAAAGUGGUGUCGGGUGUGUGCGACGAUUUCGCCGCCCAGGGGCUAGAGAACUGUCACGUCCCGCUAUCGCCAAUUUGGUCGAUCCGGGCCCGUACAUAGACGCCGAACGAACAGCACCUCCUCUGUUCGCCCAAGGCUAAACAACCACGGAUACAUGUAUAAAGAAAUUAAACAAUUUCCAGGAUACAUUUCAAUAUACAUGGCUUGCACGAAAACAAGCAACAACACCAGUGAUAGUAAGUCUAACUAAACAUGAAAUCCACUAUAAUUUAAAACUUUACAUAACUGAAACAUUUAGUUAUUACAUGCUUUAUAUACAUUCAUUUACAUAUCUCUGUACAUCAAAAUAGAUGAUACAUGAACUCAAAAUGUUAAACAACUAUAACUCUGGUGUCAGCUAGCUAGGAUGCUGGGCUCUUGCCUCGAUCCUCGGCCACAACGCUCGCACUGGAACCUGUAUGGUUAGUGGUGUAAGAACUACAAGAAAGUUCCCAGUGGGUUCGGCUGCCGACCUCGCCGACUCACCCACUAGGUCUACUCAGGCAUAUGUAGGCAAGAAAAGUAAACUGAGAUAGUAACCAACUAUAAUAUGUAACCACUAUAAUGCCUGUAUAAAGCUGAAGGAAGUAGUAUAUGAAAACUGCAAAUAUGCCAUGCAUGCUUUCACUAAAUUUAUCCAAUUUACUGGUUAACCCUUUGGUUAACUGCAACUCACCAACUCAAUCCCUAGCGGGCCCUAAGCUGCCUCUCGACGGGAUAGACGUUGGUUAACUCUUUGGUUAACAAUAACUCAAUCAAUCCAGCUAACCAAUUGGUUAACUACAACUCACCAACUCAAUCCCUAACGGGCCCUAAGCUGCCUCCCGAUGGGACCGUCUGCUGGACAGAUACUUUAGUCCAUGGGCAGAUACUUUAGCCCAAUAUGUGACCACUUCGGAGUUCACUGCCUGGGGGGGAGCGACCACCACCAAGCCAAUAACAGACUAUGUGAGUAAGAUCUGAUUCUCCUUUAGAGAAUUCAAUAACUGACAAUGCUACCAUUUAACUUCUAACUAGCUCUUUAUGCUAGUUUCAUGGUUUCAUUUCUCGAUGCUAACUAAAUCUCUAGUCUUGAUGUCACCAAGUUUACUAUUGUCCUGGUCCUUUACAAUUUCAUACAUUCAUAGGGUUCAAUGUUCACAUUCACUGUUCAUAUUCUUACUAUCUAUAAGAAUUUACAUAUUCAUUUAUCACUUUCAUAUACUUUCAAAAUGCCAAUACCCUGUGAGUAAAAUCUGAUCCUCCUUUAGAGGAUUCAAUCAUAACCAAUGUCAUACUUAUCCUCCUUUAGAGGAUUCAUUAACUGGCCAUGCCACAAUUUAACUCUAACUAGCUCUUUUUGCUAGUUUCACUGUUUCAUUUCUCAAUGCUAUCCAAUUCUCUAGUUAGAAUGUCACCAAGUUCACUAUUGUUAUAUUCCAUACAUUCAUAGUGUUCUAUGUCCACAUUCUAAUGUUCACAUAUUUUUACUAUUGAUAGGAAUUCACACUUUCACUUGCACAAUGCCAAUACCCUAUAAUGCAUGACUACCAAUAUAAAUAUGCUCAAUGAAUUAUCAUAGACAUAAAAGGUGAUUCAAAGACUUCGAAUAGCACCACCCACCUGUAGGGAUGUCGAAGACUAGAACUAACGUCACGAACCGUAUAAACAUUAGUCCACGCGACUCGAUGCAAGUAAAGCUAGAAUGAAGCGUUUCUUAAUUACCGCGUCGUAGGUCCGUCGGAAUGUCAAUUCGAACUUUCGAGCUUUCCAACGCGUCAGUUUUACCCUCUAUUAGGUUUCCACACAAUCAAUUCCAAGCUAGAUCUCAAAUCCUACAAAAAUGCAUUUUCGAGUUAAAGCUUUAUACAAUCUACUACUAAUAAAUCUCACAAAAGCACAUAGAGUAACUCAACUCUAAUCAGCCCAAGUUUUACUUCAACCCAACUUAUAUACACAUGCUGUUUAUAACACCAUUUCUAAGUUCACACAGCAAUAUCUAACACACAUCUUCUCUCUAUGUUUCAUGGCAACUUCAAAGUCUAGCAAUUAAGAAACCCUUUUAUAGGGUAAAUUCCAUAACUCUAAUAAAGAAACAGCACACUUACUUUGGGUUUCACUACUAACCCUUAGCUCACAUAUAUGAUGUUCACAAUGUAGCUCUCUAUCACUAGGUUCUCAUGGCGAUAGGAGCUCUAGUUUAAUAUAACAUAUUUCUACCCACUUUCUAUAAGAACCUAUAUAGAAAUAAUUCGCUAAGUCAAUACGUUCUGUUAACAAGUUAAAUUAACUUCUAUUUAAUACAAAUGCCCAAUUAAAUACUUCAACUUAAGGUUAAUUAGCUAAUAGGCUAUAUACUAGUGGGAGCACCUCUCAAAAUACAUGCAACGUUUCAUACAUGCCUAUUUGCCAUAAUUAAUUAUCUCCCUCAUGCUAGUAAAGUAAUUAGCAUGCUUCCUUUUCACAUACGAGGGUUGUGGAGUCAAUUACCUUCCAUAGCUAUUUAAUACACCUUUUUCUAUAACUAACUUCGCAGUCGAAGCGCCGGAAACAUCCAACGCGCGCGGAGGAUCGAUCGGCUCGUCGAGUAGUUGAAGAUCCUCACUUCUCUUUUUCUUCUUUUCCUUCUCUUUAUUUCCUUUUCUCUUCCUUUCCCUCUCUCUCUCAUGCGUACAGGGUGAAGAGUAAGUGGAUAAGAAUGGUCCCCAGGCAGCUUAGUCACUAAGAAAUGCACAAUUGCCUUUAGGUCCAUAAAUAUUAAGCAUACAAAUUUUAGUCCAACUCAGAAUCUGAUACUUUUCGCCGGAGCCCUUCUAAAUGUCUGUUUUCGCUCAAAUUUGACAAUCAAGCUCGGUUUAACUUAAUAAGAAUAAAAAAAUUUUAAUCUUUCAGUUUUGACCCUUUUUGGUCACCGAAAGCUCUACUAACUAAUAUUUUAAUAGAUAGCUUAUUUUUCACUUUCCAGGUGUCAGAAUGGUAUGAAACUUUAAAUCUAGCCUCAUAAAAAUAAUCCUGAUAUUUUUCUAGAUUUUCAUAAUUUUCUGACACUGUGCAUUUUCUGCUAAAAUAUCAGCCCCGUUUCUUACAGAAAAUUCUAAAUCUUCUGUUUUCGCUCCGAUUUCGGCACGAGUCAUUCCAGACUAACUUGGGUACUCCAUAAAUUAUCUCCAAGCCUCGCUUUAAUUCUUUUAAUCAAAGUUAGCGUUAGAAUUCCGAAAAUUCUCUUUACAUUUCGUUUCGCGCCCAAUUUGCGCCGAAACACUUAUUUAUCAUCAGAAUUCAUCCUCACGCGUCCAAAAUCACUCGGGGAAGAUAUUCAACUAGCUCGAGCUUCACUUUGAUCCCCUGGAUCAAAGUUGACAUUACAACUCCAGGAUGCCAUAUAUUACAAGAACCAUUGUCGUGGCGUGUGUGCGACGAUUUCGCCGCCGGAUGGUUAGCUAGUUUGUAGAUCCUACCGCCUGUUGACUGAACCUCUGUCGUGGCGUUUGUGCGACGAUUUCGCCGCCGGGAGACUAAGUCAUGAACCUAGGCCGUUGUUGGAUGAGGUGCGAUUCGUUCGCCGCCAGACGGCUAGGACAGGAGUACGGUGAGCUGUUGCCAGCUGAGGUGCAUGUGAGAGUUCCUUCACCUCGAGCUAGACAGUGCGCGGACUAUCCGCGAUUGAUUGACUCAAGACCGAGUCGGGUGGCAUAGCGAGCUAAGGUAAAGAAACCUUAGGAAAGAAUAGCCAGUGAGAAGGUGCAACAAAGAAUAAAGAAUAGCUAAAGAGUAAAGAAUAGCUAAAGAAUAAAGAAUGGCUAAAGAAUAAAGAAUAGCUAAAGAAAAGUUGCAAGAAAAGAAUAGCUAAGAGCUAAAAGUAAGCAUUAAAUGACAAAGAGUAAAGAAUGAUUAAGAACAUAAGUAGUGUUAAAGUAACCUACUUGCAUGAUUACAGAUCGUGACAUCCCACGUACUCGGUCUAGCUCGGACUACCGUCUGACAAAACUCUCGCCCUACCGAUAGGUACCGGGCCGUGUCUCUCACAGCUGACUGCGCCUGCCGAAUGGUCGAGGCUCACAUCCACAAGUGGUCCAGGCACGGGUCGUCCCCAAGCACUACCCGCCAAUGUCGUCCUACACGACAUGCUUAAACAGAGCUACAAGUACCAUAUCGGCUCUUAGCACUUGUGCAAAGCCACUAGCCCCACGAGUGAUCCAUGGCCCGCUUCACACUUAGCCUGCUAAGUGCUACUGCAACUCACUCAACCGCUGAAUCAAAACCGUACCUCAUGAGUAAUAUACUCGAGCGCUCUACGCCUCUACAGCGUCUAACAAGAAUCCAGUAUCAGGCAGCUUGCCUAUGCCACGUCCAUAUUACACGAGCACAACUUGUCCACCUCAACUUCGAGGUAUUUCUAGGCCAACGGGCCGCGUUUCGUCACUACACGCUACUCUCACCACAGUGAUUUUACUUUCAUUGUCCGAUCUAUCGAACACAUUCUCAAAUCCGAGUCUUUCGGUAAUCUCAACAUCAAGGCUCAACUUUCACAAUUUUUCAAUCCAUUAUUUCGAGAGUCACUUACUAGACCAUGUCUCCACGAAUCUCACUCCUUACGCGAGAAUCAUCACUAGCCAUUAGCUAGCACCACUGGCUUUCUACCUCGCACCAGCAGGUGCACUUCUCACAAUGCAAGCAUGUACGGGCAUCUACUUACCAACCAUUCGGUCCCUACUAUGCAAUAUAUAAUUAGUAGCAACCGACAACACAAUAUGCUCUUAUGCACCAACUUGAGAUUAGUAAACAGCAUGCUUGCUCAAUUAACUCAUACCUGCCACGAUGACUCAGCAACGGCAGGCUCCGACACUCGGGUCGCUCAUCAUGCCCCCUGGCGCUCGUCGCGAACCUCUGGUUGCAUCGUCCUCACGGCCAAUCUCCCGACAUGCCGCAGGUGUGCGCACCUGCAGGUUGUCCCAGAGAGGAAUGGGCGUCGCAGUGCCAAGGCCCAUCCGUCACACGCGGACACUGCGCCGCCUAUGGCAACGGCAGCCCCACUUGAAGCACUUGCCUUCACGCCUGCUCACACUGUCUGUGGGAAAUGAGGGCCUCACAAAUAGCACAUUUCCGCCGAGGACCGAAUGCGUAUGUCCCGGAGCUCGGGAUCACGAGUGCGAAACUCGUCGAGAAGUCCGUUGGGAACUAGACUGACCAUCGUGUCCGCUCACUGGCCGUCCUUUCCUUUUCCUUGUAAUAUGCCUCGUGCUCCUCCGCAGAGAUGCCCUCGCCUUGUUCUAUCCCAAGGCCCGAUCCAGGACUUCAGCAAAAGUCUGCAACCUGUGUACAAGCACAGCCUUGUAAAGGCUGGCCGCAGUCCCACGCACAAAGCAGUCAGCCUUCUCCCUGUCAUCCCGUACUAUGUUCGGAUACAAUGCACGAUACGAAAAAACCCCCCUCGUAUUGCCUAACUGAGCGAUCUCCUUGCCGCAAAUUUUGGAAUCUUUCCUUAAGCUUUCGCUUUUCUACUGUCGGGGAAAUAGGAUGAGAACACCAAUCCCCGAACUCUUCCAAGUCAUAGGAGGGAGACUAGGCGUCGAUCUCGCUUAACGCCUUUCCACCACACCUUCGCCGACUGUUUGAGAUAAUGCGCGGCUAGUUUACUUGUCUCGCUCCAGCGUGUACAGAUCCUCGAAUUAGCGUUUCAUGGAAUCAAUCCAAUCUCCACGAUCUACGGAUCUGUGUCCCACCAUCGAAGGUAGACGGAUCAACUCUUUGAAAGCCAUGAAGGCGCAAGAGCUCGCUCUCUUUCCGCCUCCAAUCGGAACCACAGGAGUCGGAUCACCGACCCCAGGCGAAAUACCUCUGUCGCGACUCCCGGCCAUCCUCGACGAGCCGCAGCUGGUUCAGCCACCAGCCGAUCCACUAUUUCCUGGAGUCUUCUCAUUUGUCCCUCCUGGCGCAUAGCAACUCCUGCUGACGCUGCCACCACAUCAGCCUGUUGGCCUCAUCACUCCUAUGAGUGUGGCCACUGAUCACGAAGCCUCCGAAGUCUCCCUUGAGUCGGUCUGCUCAAGGACACCGCUGGUCCCUCCUGCGCCGAUCUUGGUGAAGAUCGCCUACGCGGUGCCAUCGUUUCCUGAAACACGACAACUUGAUUAGUUUCGACCACUUGAGUCGAACACGAACAUUAACACCGGGCUCAAAAGCCAAUCGGGCGAAAGUCACGCAAGGGCGUCUAUUCUCUAUCACUCGGCUUCAUGUUGUGUGCACCCAACAUGAACACUCUCGGUUGAGAAUAAACAACACCUUGAAUCUACCUCCAAUAUCGUCUUAGAGGUUUCAACACUUAACCCAAUUAAUUAUCUUUCGCCACAAAUCACAAAUCCUCGUCUCUCACGAGUCUUAACCUCUAUGGUUUCACUAUCCUAGGGUCUCCUGGUCUGCCUAAACAUUCCCAUUCUCUAUUUUAUGCUCUGAUACCAUCUAUCUGUCACGACCGCGACCACCGCCAAUUUGGCCGGGUCGCGGCGCCGCGACAGACCGCCGAACGACAGAGUUUCCCCUGUACAUCCUAGGCGUCGCAAUCAAUACAUGAACAUUACAAGGGUUCCAACCAGGAACAGAUAUUCAACCAUAGAUUGCAUAAGGAGUAUCAAAAAAUAUAAACUACUAAGUUAUUACUCAUUCAACUUAGAUGCAUUUUACAACAUAAUUUUUCUUUUAACAAUCAACCCCAAAUACAAUCAUAAUUAUUACAGAUUUUUUUACAACUUAAACAAAAGUUUGUUCUUGUCUUUAAACCUCCCAAAUAGACCACCAACUCGGGUACUGCUAUCUCAGUCUCUGGGUAGGACGCUAUCUGCAGAACUACGUUAUUCGCCUUGCGCCGCCGCGCGCACACGUGUGUACCUGUACCCCAAACAGCAACACGGGGGUGAGACUAUUGUCCAUAGUCCUCAGUGGGUUUAGCCACCAAAGAGAACAAGCUCAGCCAACAGGUCAACGAGGCACUACAAACAUGUAAGUUCAACAAUAUACAACAGAUAUAUAUUCAAUUGGAAUAACAUGUCGUGCCUCACGAAUGCAAUCAUGCAAUACNNNNNNNNNNNNNNNNNNNNNNNNNNNNNNNNNNNNNNNNNNNNNNNNNNNNNNNNNNNNNNNNNNNNNNNNNNNNNNNNNNNNNNNNNNNNNNNNNNNNGCUACCUCUCGAAGCCAAAAUUCACAUUUCUUCAACUUGGCAUAAAGCUUCUUUUCCCGGAGUACUUGGAGUACAAUUCUCAAAUGCUCAUGAUCUGCAUCACUUCGAGAAUAGACCAAAAUGUCGUCGAUGAACACCACGAUGAACCUAUCCAGGUAAGGCUUAAAGACACGGUUCAUCAGAUCCAUAAAAGCUGCCGGGGCAUUAGUAAGCCUGAACGGCAUAACUGUGAACUCGUAAUGUCCAUACCGUGUUCUAAAAGCCGUCUUUGAGACGUCCUCGGGCUUAAUCUUUAACUGGUGGUAUCCCGACUGUAAGUCUAUCUUGGAAUACACCCACGAUCCCUGAAGCUGAUCAAACAAGUCGUCGAUCCUUGGCAACGGAUACUUGUUCUUGAUCGUGACUUUGUUGAAUUCACGAUAAUCCACACAAAGGCGAAGUGAUCCGUAUUUCUUCUUGACGAACAAAACUGGUGCUCCCCAAGGUGAAACGCUCGGGUGAAUAAAGCCCUUGUCCAACAAAUCCUGCAGCUGUGCCCUCAGCUUCCUCAGUUCUGCCGCUGCCAUCCUAUAGGGUGCCUUUGAGAUUGGGGUAGUCCUAGGGACGAGAUCUACCACAAACUCAAUCUCCCUAUCAGGAGGCAUANNNNNNNNNNNNNNNNNNNNNNNNNNNNNNNNNNNNNNNNNNNNNNNNNNNNNNNNNNNNNNNNNNNNNNNNNNNNNNNNNNNNNNNNNNNNNNNNNNNNNNNNNNNNNNNNNNNNNNNNNNNNNNNNNNNNNNNNNNNNNNNNNNNNNNNNNNNNNNNNNNNNNNNNNNNNNNNNNNNNNNNNNNNNNNNNNNNNNNNNNNNNNNNNNNNNNNNNNNNNNNNNNNNNNNNNNNNNNNNNNNNNNNNNNNNNNNNNNNNNNNNNNNNNNNNNNNNNNNNNNNNNNNNNNNNNNNNNNNNNNNNNNNNNNNNNNNNNNNNNNNNNNNNNNNNNNNNNNNNNNNNNNNNNNNNNNNNNNNNNNNNNNNNNNNNNNNNNNNNNNNNNNNNNNNNNNNNNNNNNNNNNNNNNNNNNNNNNNNNNNNNNNNNNNNNNNNNNNNNNNNNNNNNNNNNNNNNNNNNNNNNNNNNNNNNNNNNNNNNNNNNNNNNNNNNNNNNNNNNNNNNNNNNNNNNNNNNNNNNNNNNNNNNNNNNNNNNNNNNNNNNNNNNNNNNNNNNNNNNNNNNNNNNNNNNNNNNNNNNNNNNNNNNNNNNNNNNNNNNNNNNNNNNNNNNNNNNNNNNNNNNNNNNNNNNNNNNNNNNNNNNNNNNNNNNNNNNNNNNNNNNNNNNNNNNNNNNNNNNNNNNNNNNNNNNNNNNNNNNNNNNNNNNNNNNNNNNNNNNNNNNNNNNNNNNNNNNNNNNNNNNNNNNNNNNNNNNNNNNNNNNNNNNNNNNNNNNNNNNNNNNNNNNNNNNNNNNNNNNNNNNNNNNNNNNNNNNNNNNNNNNNNNNNNNNNNNNNNNNNNNNNNNNNNNNNNNNNNNNNNNNNNNNNNNNNNNNNNNNNNNNNNNNNNNNNNNNNNNNNNNNNNNNNNNNNNNNNNNNNNNNNNNNNNNNNNNNNNNNNNNNNNNNNNNNNNNNNNNNNNNNNNNNNNNNNNNNNNNNNNNNNNNNNNNNNNNNNNNNNNNNNNNNNNNNNNNNNNNNNNNNNNNNNNNNNNNNNNNNNNNNNNNNNNNNNNNNNNNNNNNNNNNNNNNNNNNNNNNNNNNNNNNNNNNNNNNNNNNNNNNNNNNNNNNNNNNNNNNNNNNNNNNNNNNNNNNNNNNNNNNNNNNNNNNNNNNNNNNNNNNNNNNNNNNNNNNNNNNNNNNNNNNNNNNNNNNNNNNNNNNNNNNNNNNNNNNNNNNNNNNNNNNNNNNNNNNNNNNNNNNNNNNNNNNNNNNNNNNNNNNNNNNNNNNNNNNNNNNNNNNNNNNNNNNNNNNNNNNNNNNNNNNNNNNNNNNNNNNNNNNNNNNNNNNNNNNNNNNNNNNNNNNNNNNNNNNNNNNNNNNNNNNNNNNNNNNNNNNNNNNNNNNNNNNNNNNNNNNNNNNNNNNNNNNNNNNNNNNNNNNNNNNNNNNNNNNNNNNNNNNNNNNNNNNNNNNNNNNNNNNNNNNNNNNNNNNNNNNNNNNNNNNNNNNNNNNNNNNNNNNNNNNNNNNNNNNNNNNNNNNNNNNNNNNNNNNNNNNNNNNNNNNNNNNNNNNNCACCUCCUGAACUCAUUGAGGCGCUCCAUCAGUCUAUCUCGCUCCGCCCCCUCAACGAAAGUAGGGAAUGCAGCUCCAACCGGGGGCCUCUGCACAGGCGGUGCUACCAAAACCUCCUCCUAGGAUGCGGCCGCAGGCGCCCGCACCCGAAGAACUGGGCGCGGGGGACGACGCUCUCGGUGCAACGUCCACCACUGGUGCUGGCGGUGUAGGGGCCUGAGUCUCCCUGGAAGCUGCCGCCUGCUGCAACAGUAGAUCCUCCAGACGCUUCAUCCGCGCCUCCUGUCGGUGCGCCGCCUCGGUCUGCUGUCGGGCCGCCUCCGCCUGCUGAGUGACCGAAUCAGUGAGGGCCGCAACUGACCCCUCAACUCACGGACCUCGCUGGAUCCGGAGGUAGCGGAGGUCUCGACCUCCUCGAAGUUUGCCGCAUUGUCCGCCCCGGCAGAUUGGGAGCGAGUAAUCGGCAUCGUCACUACAACAUCAUAAAAGCGUAAGUUAGUGAAAACCCACGCUAUCGCAUCCCCGCUCAAAAUAAAACCCAAAUCACGCGAAAGUAAGGAAGUGUUCUUCACCACUAACUCCCGAUGUUACGCUGUCGGCCGCCAACGUAAUCCUCCGCGAAGUUAGGAGUUAUACACUUCGAUUUAACUCCACUUUCUAGAGUUAUUCAAGAUACCCAGUCUAGAUACUUUCGCUUACAAGUCGAAUAGACCUCGUCUCUCACGAGCCUAUUUCCUAUAGUCCAACCGGCCUAAGGUCUACUAGGUUCCCUAAGACUCAACCCUAGGCUCUGAUACCAAAUUAAUCUGUCACGCCCCGGGACCCAGCGGAAGCCCGCCCGGCACGUGCCCAGACCCGCCAUACGUCUAAAACAUAUAAGGCAUCUAAAAACAACAAUAAUAACAGCAAUAAUAAAAGGCAUUUAGGAGUAUCAGAGCAUAAUAAAUGUCUAAAUGCUACAACAAGGGAUAAGGAUAAAACUGUAAAUCCGCUAAAUAAAACAUAAAGUGAUGCAAGGAAAUCUCAGAUACAAGUGGUAUAGGUAGAUACAUAGGUGGUCUCUAUACAUGGAUACAAAAACCUCUCACUCUCUCAACUACAAAAAGAAAGAGUAAACCACCAAGGCAAAGUACGCUCCUCGCUAGCUAGCUAAGCGAUCCCUUUGCCGCGAUCCCGUGCCCCCGCCGGUGCCGAAGGCUCUGAAAAGUAAAUCAUAAAACGGGGGCGUGAGAACUAUUAAAAAUAGUUCCCAGUGGGCAAUUACUGACUUCAGUGAAUGCACCACAAAGCCCAAAGCUACAAAAGAUGUCAGUGACUAUAAAAGUAGAAAAACGAAAGGUAAGUAAAAAUAUAACUUACUACAAUAUGAUAUCUCUACUUAGCAUACUUAGCAUAAGUAUGAAGCAACUAUACAUGAAGUAAAAGUCUCCAACUAUCAUAAUGUUCACAAUACGAAAUAGUAAAGUUCCGUUGUUUACUAUUCUAGUCAAUGUCCAAGUAGUACAGUAAGUCAUCAUCUGUCCACAUGUCAUAAUGAAUACUCAAAGUCAAAUAUGAAGAGACCCACCCGAAGGCUGUCUAUGGCCCUGAGACCCACCCGUAGGCUGUCUGGCCGGUGCCGAGCCUAAUGGCCCCGUGGUAGUCAUCAUCCCCACCCUAGGAAUGAGCCUGUCCCACGGCAAUCCACUUCGGCGCCCAAUCCCGCACGGCGAAUAUGAAUCGCGAUGGCUAUCUCCGGAGUGCCGGCUUGUAGGGAGCGACCCUCACAAGCAUGUGCGAAUGAGCACAAUGGCAAGUAGUCAAACGAUCUGUCGCAAGUACCAAGUCCUCAUGUCUAAUAACAUGGAAUGUGUCAAGUAUCUCAACGGCCUAUCCCUAUGUCAUCAUGUCUCUAACAUGGAAUGUAGCGGAUAAGUAGUGGCCUAUCAAUAUGUCUCUAUGUUGCAGUUUCAUAGUUUACUAGUUUCAAGUGCCCCUUGAUGACACUCUUGUUCUCUAUGCCAGAGCAUGGCAACUAUGUUCCAAAGUACAUAUUCCAAGUCAUAAUCCUCAUAAGUGAUGUAUUUUCCACUUGCAAAUAAACACUUUUCCCAUAUGCAUGCAUUCUACUCAUAUAGCUCUACUAUAUAGUGAAAUUUUCAUAAUACACAAGGCAUGCAUUUUAAGUGCUCUAAAAUUCAUAUAAAUUCCAUUUAGCAUAGAAAUGAAUUUAAAAAUAUUUUACAACAAAUAGAAAGAGCAUAGGGUCCAUUUCGCCCCAUUUCCACGAAGCCAAACCCACCGUCGUCAACGAAAGCUUUCGUUUGCCACGACGAAGGCGUCCACCACACUCCUAGUACCCUAAAGGUAUGAAAACAAGUGUCAUCUAGUCGAAACGAAUGACGCUAAGUUCAAUCAUUAACCAACUCAAGCUAGGGUUGGGAAAAACUCACCUCAAGUGAAAAACCCUCUCUUAAUCUUCAAAUGGAAGGUAGGGGUCUUCCAAUCUAACCUAUAUAAAGGUUCCAAACCCAUCAAAAAGGUUUCAAAGCCCUCAAAUCAAAAAGCCCCAAAUCUAACCCUAGAAUCCCAAUCUAGGGUUUCAUCUAGUAAAACCUAGAAAAACAUGUAUCAAGUAGGGAUUACAUGCUACCAACCUCAAGAGGAGCUUCAAUCCAAGCUCAAAACCAAGUAGGGUUGAAGUUUGAUCCUCCACAAAGCUCCAACCGCAAGCUCGAAGCCACCAAGGUGAGAAAAUGGGGAAGAAGAUGAUGCUCCAAAGC
rnacentral:lncRNA from 1 species